rnacentral:lncRNA from 1 species
CCUCGGGGCAAACCGACCAAUAGGUCAUCAAACUAUAUAGAAGUAUAAGGACCGACUACUCAGGUCAACUAGGAAGGAAUAACUCAAUAUCCUACCGAAGGUAUACAAGCACUGACUACUAAAGUCAACUAAUAUAUAUGCACAACGAACCGACGAAUAGGUCACCAGAGUAUAUCACUAGAAUCCCGAAUUACCGUCGGCCACUAGCCAACAAUCCAACCCCUCAAUGGGCGUACAACCGACCUCACUAGGUAUCAAACGAUCAGUCCUCACGAAGCUUACUUACUAGUCACAAACAUACCAAAUAUUGGAUAAACUGAGUAACGACCUAUUAACUCAUCCGUCGGCGCUAAGCCGACAACUCCCACCCUUAGGGCCUUAGUACGCGACCUCAGGGUCAUCGAACGACAGAAGUCCAAGAAACAGGACCAAUCCAAGCUAAUCAUAAUUGCGCACAACCGACAACACCAGGUCAACAGAGUAUAGAGAUAGAAAGCAUCCGAUCAUACUACGGUAUUCCGAACGUGAAGUACGAGAACCGGUACCAAUCAAAAGUCACCGAAAACGAUCAGUACGAGAACCGACAAUCAGUCCACGAUAUCACAUAUGGAUACAACUACCUCUACUCUUCCACACAUGAAUACUAAGCAUAGAGACAUUUAUAGUAGAGUGAUAAUAGAAUCAACGAGGAGCAAGCUCAAUUAUAUCAUACUGAUAACUAGCAAAAGUGAGAACAGGAUAAAGGAAACCAUCAUCGAGCGGCCACCACGGUGUACCGACUUCGGAUCGAUGCAGCGUUAGCCCACUGUACAAAUACGUUGCCGUGUCUCUCUCGUGCUGUGGAAUAAGGGCAUCAACCGCGACCUAAGAAGGUCACCGGGGUUAGAGUCUUAACCCACAAACCUUAACAAACCACUAGCUCUCAAUCACAACAACAAAACCCACGACUGAUCGGUUUCUAAAAUCGCGACUUAUCGUACAUCUCGCCGGAAAGUCCGCUAAUCGCGCACGCGGACUCCGUCGGACCUCACGACCUCUCGGAUCGUACCACUCAUUGUACGAGUCAUGCCGCUGCACUAAUACAUAAGUUAAUCGUGCCAUCAGUGGCAGCAACACGUCGCCUCAGUUGGUCUCCGUUCCUGAAACAUAUACCGUCGAUCAUCUUUCGAUCGGGUCCCUGAAGGUCUAAGAUUCUUAUUUCUAUUUUGUCUGGAUUUGUCUUUAUCCUUUUUUUCGCCUGACCCGGUCAUUGAGCGCUUUCCGAACCUUAUAUGAUUGUUUUUGUGCCCGCUCUGGUAUAUCAUCUGAGGGUCUUUCUGUGCGUAUUUCUACACAUUCAUGUCAUCGAUAGCUCUUUAUUCUAUUAUACCUGGAUCGACUCUCUGCUGAUCUGAGGAAACGCGCGAUAAUUCUCUUUUUUUUAUAUCUAUAUAGGCUUGGGCCUUGAUGUUGAUGGUUUCUAGUCUUCUGACUCAGCUGUCACAAGCAGCUAGCGACGCAGCUCGCGGUAUGUCUAAACGGCUAUAAACGGCCCCUAAGGUCGACACAUGGAAAUUCACAUUCUUUAUAGUUAUUUUUCUUCAUGCCUUAUGGAUCGUCUACCGACGCAAAGCCAGCGGGGCGAUUAGGACAAAAACACGGCUCUCGGCUGACUAGAUUCAGCGGCCAGAGGCCGUGAUCACCUUCCGAGCACUCCGGCCACUGCGGACGCGGCGCGACGAGCGACGCGGAUUCAGCUACGUGUGACAACACGCGCGCACAGCGCAAAGAUUGCCCUGUACACUCACGAAACCGGCACCAACUGUACCCAAACGCAGCGAGCGUCUCGGUGUUCAGCACGAGCCCACGAUCUCAUGUGCUCACUCCCGGCUGGGUUCGGUAGUAUCGGAAUUCACCGGGAAAGGUGACCGAAAACUUAACUGACAAGUGCUGAAGCAUAAUACAAGCCACUUACCGAGCAGGUUGGGAGCUAACGGGCUGGCCGCGUGGCUGGCCCAGGACGGCGAGGCGCCUCCGACCGGGGAACUGGAGCAAGUCGGGCCGAGGGUCCGGAGUGGUUCUUGGCCGGGCGGCGGCGGCGCAGCUGUGGCGCGACGGGCGAAGAUUCACAGCCCACACAGUCCUCUCUGGUUCAAGGCCGGCGAGCGCGAUAGCACGGGGUGGCGGUCCGAGGGAGCUCGGACGGCCGGCCCUGAUCGGCCGGAGCCGAGGGGAAGGUAGGUGGCACCUACGGUGCAUGCUGGCGGCGGCCCUCGGGGGGCGCACGCUCCAAAGUUGGCUGCAUGGGCUGGCGGGUCAAGGAGUCCAGCGGCGGCCGGGCGGCGGGUACACACGGGGGAAGCUAGCGGAGGCACUGAGGUCGCUUGGGGGAGCGGCAGCCGAGAAGGUAAGGUGGUGCGUAGCCCCGAACUCGAGGUUUGGCCCGCCUGGUCUUGCGGACCCGGCUGGGCCGCAGCUCCUCAGAGCGGCUUCGGCGGACGUCCGGCAUGGCCGGAGCCGGGGAAGAACGUGCUGGAGGUGGAUCACGGCCCGGGGUUCCUUCUCCAGAGGUGGUGGAGGCUCUUCUACCAUGCAGUCGGCCAAGGGUGGGAGGGAGGUGGCCGAGAGGUGGACUAGGGAGCUAGCUGCGGGUUUCCGGGCGCUGAGCAGCUCGCGGUGGCCGGGGCCGCGCACGGCAGGGCAAGGCUCACUGGGCGCGUAGGUGUCUGGGGCAGCUGGGGGCGGAUUAGGGUUAGGGUUCCAUAGUGAACCCUAGCUACACUUAUAUAUUUGUAGGGUGAACCAACAGCCAAACAGUCCCUCCAAACCUCGAAGCAAAUUCAAUCCGUAGCCCUCACAGCUGUGAGUGAAAACGCUACGAAUACCCCUCCACCCUGCGAUCUCACGCGAAACGGGUAAGUUUAAUAAUUGCGCGGACCUGUCCGAGAACAUUACUUUGUGCAUCACCGACCUCCCUCGGAUCAAAUCGCGCAAUCGUCCGCAGGAUCCGUCCGUCAGAUUUGGCGAAGUCGGAUCGCACUUCAGUGCGUAUCAGCAUGACAGGAACAAACAAAGCUACGAUUUCGACUCAUCUCGAUCAGAUACAGACAUUCACGACAAAUCGCAAGUCUUUUUCAACAAGAAAGAAAACAACCCAAAUACAUAGCUAAAGACAUCAUUCUAGGAUUUUCUCGAAAUCGUUGUCAAGACUCAAAGUCGCCAGCGCCAAAAGUUUCAUGAACAGCUGGGAUAUCCGGGUCGAACGAGCUAUUGGGACUGCUAUGAACGGAGUCUGAUACGAGCCUGAAGCCAACUUCACCUAUCAUGCUUCUCCUAAAAUCGAAGGGUUACUUAUUCACUUUACACGUGAAACCUGGAGAUCGCGUAAGUUCUCCGUUCCUACUUCAGUUUCUCCUAAGACUUGAGCGUGCUUCAUGUAAUUAAAUUACCACACAUAAGCAUCUAUCAACAAAGACUUAGUUGCCACUGUGCCCAGAAUCUUCAGUCCUUACAAUGUGAGCAGACUGUCAGUCUGCCACUAUUCAUCCCAAAUCGCAUCGAAGCCUACCCCUGUGCCUAGGCCAACCCAACAACGAAAUCCAUUCGUGAUCUUUCGCAUCCACUCGGGCCCUGACAGAACUCGACAGCUUACCAAGCAGUGUACCUGAGUCAUGGUCGGCCUUUACCUGUGACAAGUCAGGCAUAUGAGCGUACAGAAUCUGCCAUGCUCCCUCUCAUCCCAUUCCACCAAAACUGUGCCUUCAAAUUCUUGAAUACAUCUGGGUUCCCCAUAGGGUGAACCGUAUAAGUUUAUCAAUGUAGCCUCCCUCAAAGAUGUCCUCUCGGAGUCUCUGAAAUCUACAGGCUACACACCAGUCGGUCCCUGUUUGUUUUUUUUUUUUUUUCUUUUUUAUUUUUCCCGCAGACCCCGAACUGUCCAAAAGGCAAAACCCGGCGCCACUGGCCCCCUAAUGUAAUGCUCUCGGAAUGGCCUCAGAACAAAUGCGGAUUCCACUGCUUUUGCUCCCGGAUCCUAUCCAUACAGAGUGGGCUGCCAAAGGACCAGAGACAUCAGUCUUGCCAGUAGCACCCAGGGAGCACCACCUCAAGCUCAGCCGCUUAGGCUCCGUCAAAUUGUGUAGCGGCUCGGCUGAGUGAUCAACAAGCUCGAAGCUUCGCCUGCCUUGCUGCUCAGAUGUCAUCUGCCACUAUAAUUUGGCCCGUGCACGGGAUGAUAACGAAUACAUCGGUCAUAGUCUUUCGAGUAACUCAACCACCGGCGCCUGUGCUCAAUUCAAUUCCUUUGAGUGAAACGAGAUACUGAGACUUUUAUGGAUCGGUGAAAACCUCGCGGGAGUGCUCAGCCGUACAAGUAAUGCCCGCCACACUUCAAAGCAAAGUAAGAAUACUGCGGCAAGCUCCAGAACAUCAUAGUUAUUUCUUCCGUCAUAAUCAUGUAACCUGCCGUGAAGCAUAAGCAAUCACCCUACCAUGAUGCCAUCAGCACUACAAACCCAGCCGGUGCGAUGCAUCACUACUAGAUCACAAAUUCCUUCCCCUCCAUCCACAGAAGGGCAAGGGAAGGAGCUGCACUCAAUUCUGUCUCAACUGCGUCGAAGUUACCUUCUGGCAUCCCUCACCCAUAACAAAUCGAAUCCCCCUUCCGUGGUCAACGCUGUAAGGGGUGUGGAAAGCUUCGCAAAGCCCUCCACAAACUGACAGUAAUUAUCCCUGCUAGUCCCAGAAAACUCUGCAACUCAGUCACGUCGUGCGGUCUAGCAAUCCCGAAUAGCAUCGAAUCUGAUACUUCGCGGUCUACUGCUACUCCUCUGCAGAGAAUCACGUCACCCAAGAAACGGCAGACUUCCGCAAACCAAAACUCGUCACUUCUUAUCAACUUGGCAUUACAGCUUCUUCUCUCGCAGAGAACUGUGUAGCACAGAUCGCUCAAGUGCUUCUCAUGCUCAGCAUUCACGUACGGAGGUAAGGCGAUCACGAAUGCUCAUCGAUGAAGACUACCACAAAUCUUAUCAAGAACGCUUGAGCACCCUGUUCAUGUCAAUCCGAUGAAUGCGCAGGGCAUUCGGCAAUCCAAAGGGCACGAUUGACCGUAACUAUAAUGCCCGUACCGAGUCCGAAAAAGCCGUUCUUGGAGAACAUCCUCGCCCUCAUCCUCAGCUGGUGGAACCGGACUGCACAGAUCAAUCUUCGAGAAGACGAAGGAAUCCCCAACUGAUCAAACCAAAAUGCACCAGAUGCGGGCAGAGAAUGUUUUGAUGGUCACUUAUUCCAGCUCCCGUAAUCUACGCACAACCUGGCGACCCAUCCUUUCUUUACAAAUGAAAUACCGGCGCUCCCCAACGCAUACACUGGGUCUCACAGUACCUCCGUUAUCCACAGAUCCUGAAGCUGCGCCUUUAGCUCCUCUCAGCUUCCGCCGGUGCCAUCGAAUAACAUGCGAACCCAUUAAAAAAAAGAAUGAAAAAAAAAGGUUUAAAAAGAAAAAGUGAAAAAACAAAAUCCAAAAAGGUGGUACCUUUUGAGAUUGGUGCAGAUUUAGGAGACUACAUCAAUCACAAACUCUAAUCUUCCCUCUGCAGGUGGCAUCGUCGUCAACUCAGGGCAAACAUCAUGAACUCGUGCGGACUACAGCAAUAUCCUCGGAGUCCCUAGCGGCCGCCGUAGGGCACCGCUCAACAACGAGUCGGCCAAGAAAGGAGAAACACCAUUCCUGCUAACUCAUCAAGCUGUCGAGCCCUCGCGAGAUAUUCGAAGUGCAAAGCAGUGUACUUCUUGGAGCCUCUUAAAGACUAAAUGCCUUCCUGGCCUGGAUCGUGAACGUCACUAUCCGCUCGCACAAUCGGUAGUAGCAUGUACGCUGCGCCAGCCAAAUCCAGUACCGAGCAUCGACGGUCGAGAUCCUGCAGGCUUGCCCUCAACACCAACAGGCUGCGGGCAUGGAUCCACGAGUCGUAAGACUUGCACCGACACGCCCAAACAACACUCCGCAUCCUGUAAAUCGAUGGUCUGGAUCUGCACCUCUCGUGCCUGAGACACCUCUGACAUCUAGACAUGCAAUAAGGCAAAUGCUCGGCUUGAAUAGACGAGUGAGAUGCACCGGAUCAAACGAGAGUAAGAAUCUAAUGCCAGAAAUCAAAGUGAUAGCCUGGCCACCACUCGUCGCCGCCGGUGUAGAGUCCUCCACCUCGUGCUGCAUAGACCCGCGUUGCCACUAGGAGCCGUGCUUGUCGCCGCUCAUCCUGGAUGCGGCACGGAUGCCCUGUCCUCCGGCGUGCGGUAGCGAUGCAGUGCUCAAAGACUGCCUGAGGGGCUGAUGAUGCUGGAAGGCGGUACGGAUGGCGUCUGGGUGAUACUGCUCGUGGGAGCAAGCUGAACCUUCAUAUGUGCCGUCGGGCUGGUUUGUUCCACAUCCAAAACAGUCCGACCUCACGCUGGUCGCAGCUGCGGCCAGUGGUGGUCCGCCCACAUGACUCACGCGCUCACGAGCAGUAACACCCCUUGGACUGCCUCUGCAUGCGAGGUCCCCUCAGAACGACCGAUGCCGCCAAGAAUCCACGACUCUGAGAACGCGAUCGUGGAGGUCUCGGCGGACGCCGGCUGCUCGACUGUCCACCAUCGUCUGAAGCUGGGUGCUUCCUAUCCUGACUCUGCCCCACGGCCUGAGUUCUCUCCUGCAGUGACACCUCACCUCUCUCCACCGACAAGGCCUGCUCUGUGGACGCAUCCAGAGUCCUCGACCUCUGCAUCCGCGCCAACCUGAAAAUGUCGGGUCUCAGCCCCUGCUCAAACAGAUAGACCCUGUGUGCCUCGUCCCUGGCCACAAAUGGCACACAGUUCAGGAGUCGAGUAAACUCCCGAAUGUACUCCUGCACUGGACGAUCCCCCUGCUGAAUCCUCUUCAAAUUCUCCUCGAGCUUCUGUUUCACACUGUUGGGAAAGAACAUCCCAAACAGCAUUCCACAGAACUCAUCCCAUCUCAACUGCAACGCUACCAGUCCCUGCUCUCUCCUCACUCUCCUCCACCAGGCGUGGGCAUCACCUGCCAAGCAAUGGACUCCCAAAGACACCUGCCCCCCCUCAGGAAUGAAUAGAUCCUCAAAUAACUUCUCCAUCGCACUGACCCAUCCCUCAACAACCCAGGCCUCAGUGCAACUGCCAUCGAAAAUCGAUGGAUCAAAACGGCGGAAACGAGCCAACCUCUCCGUCCACCGCUCCUGCUCGACCUCUGUCAACUGUACUGGCCCCCUAGCAGGCGCAACUGGCACUACUGGAACUGCUGCUGGCGGAGGGACUGCUGCAGCUGGUGCUGUCACUGAGGUAGUCGGAGGUGGAACAGACGACUCUAGUGCCCUCGGUACUGAACUCUGGGGCGAAGCUAGCCUCUCGCACAUCCUCUCCAACAACUCCCCCUGCCGCCUCGUCACCUCUGUCAGGCCGGCUAACUGUGCACUCAAGUCCGGGGAUGUACUCAUCUCCGAUCGAACACUCUGCUCCCGCUGGGCACUCGGCUCCGCAUGCUCAAGCAUCUCGGAAGGUCCCGCACGAUCCUGCGACAACUGGGCACGCUCCCGUAACGACGGUCGACCUCGGUGACGAUACAUAGCUAAAAGGAACAGAUCGGGGUCAGAUGAAACAUAAACACUCUCGACCCAAUCAACGAAAGUCUGGAAGGCGGUCCCUGUUUUCCUCCAAAAUUAUGUUGUCUGCAGCCAACAUAAUUUCUCAGGCCAAAACAGGCACUCCUUCAAUCACUCACCCCACUCUAGGAGGAGUUAGAACAAUUAAUCAUUGACUUUCGCAAUAAAUUACGCCUCUCGCGUCUUGCCUUCCUAAGGUUUGCCAAACUUAGGUUUUCUAGGUCCCAAUGACCUAAUGCUAAGCUCUAAUACCAACUUAAUCUGUCACGCCCUGGAUUACACAAUUCCCGGGCACGUCGACAAAUUCGCCGUAUACAAAGAAUUUUUCUUGUAUACGAAGCGUAUCGAUAACUGAAAAUAUACAAUACUACAACCAGUAGUAUAGAGCUAUAAAGAAACCAAACAGGUAGAAUAAAACAAGUCUUACAUACAUACAACAAAACGCUAUACAAAGGUACUCACUCCAGCGAGUUAUAACAACUGUAUGUACAUAAACUCAACAAAAUAAACCGAAACUACCUGCAGUGGUGGAUCCUCUAUCUAGCAACUCGUCGAGUAGGGCUCUAACUCGCGACGCCCUUGCCUCGAUCAGCCUCGGAAGGCGUAGCAACUAAAACUGGUGGCUCUGCAAAACAGUGGUAACAACUGGGUGUGAGAACUACUGUAAAAGCAAGUAGUCCUCAGUGGGUACCGCCCUCAACAUCAUCGGCCCACCCACUAAGACUACAGUNCUGGGGGCGGAUUAGGGUUAGGGUUUCCAUAGUGAACCCUAGCUACAUUAUAUAUGUAGGGUAACAAAUUGCGCCAAAGUCCCUCCAAACUCAGCAAUUCAAUCCGAGUCCCUCACAGCGUGAGUAAAACGCACGAAUACCCCUCCAUCCGCGAUCUCACGCGAAACGGUACAUAAAAUGUCGCGACUUUUCCAAAAUUACUGUUUUGCCAUCACCGACCUCUCCUCGAUCAACGCGCAAUCUCCGCAGAUCCGUCCGUCAGAUUUGCGAACGGAUCGCACCAGUGCGAUCAGCAUGACGGAGACAACAAAGCUACGAUUUCGAUUCAUCUCGAUCGACUACAGAUUCACGACAAAAUCCAAUCUUUCUUCCAACAGAAGAAACAACACACAAAUACAUAUAAAACAUGUAUUUCUAGAUUUUCUCGAAAUCCGUGUGUCAAACUCAAAAUCCGCCAGCGCCAAAAGUUUCAGAACAGCUGGACCGGUCGAAACGAGCUAUUGGACUGCUAUGAACGGAGUCUGAUACGAGCCUGAAGCCAACUUCACCAUCAUGGCUUCUCCGGAAAAUCGAGUUACUAUUCACUUUAAGUGAAACUUGGAGAUCGCGUAACUUCUCCGUUCUAGCUCAGUUUCUCCUGAAACUUGACGAGUGCUUAUGUAAUUAAAUUACACACAUAAGCAUCAUCAACAAAGAGUUUAGUUGCACUGUCCAAAAUCUCAGUCCUUACAAGUGAGCAGACUUGGUCAGUCUGUCCACUAUCACCCAAAUCGCAUCGAAGCCACCCUGUGCUCUAGGCAACCCCACAACGAAAUCCAUCGUGAUCUGUUCCCACUUCCACUCGGGCACUGACAGACUCUGAAGCUUACCAACAUGUACCUGAUGGUCGGCCUUUACCUGUUGACAAGUCAGACAAUGAGCUACAAAUCUGCCAAUGUCCCUCUUCAUCCCAUUCCACCAAAACUGUGCCUUCAAAUUCUUAUACAUCUUGGUUCCCCUAGGGUGAACCGUAUAAGGUGUACAAUGAGCCUCCCUCAAGAUGUCCUCUCGGAUCUCUGAAUCUACAGGCACACACAGUCGGUCCCUGUACCGCAGUACUCCCGAACUGUCCAAAGCAAAACCCUCGGCCUGCCCCCUAAUUAACUGCUCUCGAAUCCUCAACAAAUGCGGAUCUCCACUCUGUUUCUCCCGGAUCCUAUCCAACAGAGUGGGCUGCAAGACCAGAGACAUCAGUCUUGCAGUAGACCCAGGGACACCACCUCAAGCCUCAGCCGCUGUAGCUCCUCAAGUAGCGGUCUCUGCUGAGUGAUCAACAAGCUCAAGCUUUGCGCUGCCCUUCUGCUCAAUGCAUCUGCCACUAUAUUUGCCCUGCCGGGAUGAUACUGAAUACUAAUGUCAUAGUCUUUCAGUAACUCCAACCACCGGCGCUGUCUCAAAUUCAAUUCCUUUUGAGUGAACAGAUACUUGAGACUUUUAUGAUCGGUGAAAACCUCGCAGUGCUAGCCGUACAAGUAAUGCCGCCACAACUUCAAAGCAAAGAAUACUGCGGCAAGCUCCAAAUCAUGACUAGGGUAAUUCUUCUCAUAAUCAUUUAACUGCCGUGAAGCAUAAGCAAUCACCCUACCAUGCUGCAUCAGCACACAACCCAGUCCGUUGUGCGAUGCAUCACUAUAGAUCACAAAUCCUUCCCCCAUCACAGGAAGGGCAAGGAUAGGAGCUGUCAUCAAUCUCUGUCUCAACUCGUCGAAGUUCCUCUGGCAGUCCUCACACCAAACAAAUCGAAUCCCCUUCCGUGUCAACCUGGUAAGGNAAGGGCAAGGAUAGGAGCUGUCAUCAAUCUCUGUCUCAACUCGUCGAAGUUCCUCUGGCAGUCCUCACACCAAACAAAUCGAAUCCCCUUCCGUGUCAACCUGGUAAGGGGUGUGGAAAGCUUCGCAAAGCCCUCCACAAACUGACAGUAAUAUCCUGCUAGUCCCAGAAAACUCUGCAACUCAGUCACCGUCGUCGGUCUGGGCCAAUCCCGAAUAGCAUCAAUCUUCUUCGGGUCUACUGCUACUCCCUCUGCAGAAAUCACGUCACCCAAGAAAGCAACUUCCCGCAACCAAAACUCUCACUUCUUUAACUUGGCAUACAGCUUCUUCUCUCGCAGAAACUGUAGCACAAUCCUCAAGUGCUUCUCAUGCUCAGCAUCACUACGGGAGUAAAUCAGAAUGUCAUCGAUGAAGACUACCACAAAUCUAUCCAAGAACGGCUUGAGCACCCUGUUCAUCAAAUCCAUGAAUGCGGCAGGGGCAUUCGUCAAUCCAAAAGGCAUGACCGUAAACUCAUAAUGCCCGUACCGAGUCCGAAAAGNUCUGAAAAUUAAAUUUUAAAUAUUGAAAUUAAAAUAAAAAUAAAAAUUUGAAGUUUAAAUCCAAAAUUAGAAUCAGAUUUCAAGAAGCAGCUUUUUUCUGCUUCUGAUUUUGGAGCCUUCAAAAUCAAUUUUCUGAUUCUAAAAAGCAGAAUCAGAUUUUAAAAGUUAGUUGCCAAACGCUCUAUUGAGCCGAAAAUCACUUCUCAUCCCAAAAGCGCUUUUUAAAAGCUAGGCCAAACACCCCCUAUAUCUUAUAUAUAGAGAGAGUUUGGCUAUAUUACUUUUGUAAGUAUAGAUCCAUUUAUACUCAUAAUAUUCGAUCGUUAGAUCUAUCAUUUUGACUAUUUCUAUCUGUUAUAUCAUACUAUUCAACGAACCACUCACUCAAUCCUAUAGGAGACCACUAUCGUCCUAAUCGCACAUCCAACGACUGAAAAUUUAUAAGUAUAAAGGAGUCUAUACUUAUAAGAGUAUAGUAGCCCGAGCCUAUAUAUAUAGAAUUAGGCUACUAUACUAUUAAUAGUACAAACCGCUUGCUAUUAGGUUUUCGGCCCUUUGAUGAAGGGAUGUGCGGUCAGGAUGAUAGUAGCCCCGUAGAGUUGUGUGGGUGGCUAGUUGAAUAGUAUGAUCUAACGAAUGAAAAUGGCUAAAGAGAUAGAUCUAAUGGUAGAAAAUUCGAUAGCACCAAAUGCUUGGUAUUAUCGAUAGUAUAGUAGCCGGACUCUAUAUAUAUAUAUAGGUAGAUUUAAUGGCUGAAAACUCAAUAGUACAGAGCGCUUAGUACUAUCGAUAGUAUUGAUAGUAUAGUAGUCGGACUAUACAGAGAAAGAGAGAGAGAGACGGAGAGUCCGGCUACUAUAUUAUCAAAUUUUGUGUCGUUAGAUCUACUUUUUUGACAAUUUCCACCCGUUAGAUCAUAUUAUUCAACUAACCACCCACUCAACAUAUCCUAACUGCACAUCCCUUCAUCCAAGGACCGAAAACCUAAUAACAAGUGGUUGGUAUUAUUAAUAGUAUAGUAGACUAAUUAUAUAUAUAUAUAUAUAUAUAUAUAUAUAUAUUGAGCUUUUCGAGCUUAAUUCGAGCGAGCUGAGUAUUACUCAAGUUCGGCUUGAAAUUAAUUUUGAGCCUAAAUUUAGGCUCAAGGUUGCUUGAAAUAAAUUCGAGCCGAGCUCGAGCUAGCCGAGUAUCGAGCCAAACACGAGUCGAACACGAGCCGACUUGCUCAUUUGCUUGCCCUAACUAGNGAACACCCUGUUCAUCAAAUCCAUGAAUGCGGCAGGGGCAUUCGUCAAUCCAAAAGGCAUGACCGUAAACUCAUAAUGCCCGUACCGAGUCCGAAAAGCCGUCUUGGAAACAUCCUCGGCCCUCAUCCUCAGCUGGUGGUAACCGGACUGAAGAUCAAUCUUCGAGAAGACGAAGGAUCCCUGCAACUGAUCAAACAAAUCAUCAAUGCGCGGCAGUAGAUACUUGUUCUUGAUGGUCACUUUAUUCAGCUCCCGGUAAUCUACGCACAACCUGAGCGACCCAUCCUUUUUCUUUACAAAUAAUACCGGCGCUCCCCAAGGCGAUACACUGGGUCUCACAUACCUCUUAUCCAUCAGAUCCUGAAGCUGCGCCUUUAGCUCUCUCAGCUCCGCCGGUGCCAUCCGAUAAGGUACCUUUGAGAUUGGUGCAGUUUUAGGAACUACAUCAAUCACAAACUCAAUCUCCCUCUCAGGUGGCAUCGUCGUCAACUCAGGGGAAACACAUCUGGAAACUCGCGGACUACAGGAAUAUCCUCGAGUCCCGGCGCCGCCGUAGGUACCUCAACAACAGUCGCCAGAAAGAGAACACAUCCUCUACUCAUCAGCUGUCGAGCCCUCGCCGAAGAUAUCCAAGUGGCAAACAGUGUACUUCUGCAGCCUCUAAAAGUAAACUCCUCCUGGCCUGGAUCGUGGAACGUCACUAUUCUCGCUCCACAAUCGAUAGUAGCAUAGUACCGCGCCAGCCAAUCCAUACCGAGCACGACGUCGAAGUCCUGCAGCUGCCCUAACACCAACAGGUCUGCGGGCAUGAUCCACGAGUCUAACUGCACCGGACACGACCAACAACACUCCGCAACCUGUAAAAUAUGGUCUGGGAUCUGCACCUCUCGUGCCUGAGACAAGGCUCUAAACUCUAGAUCAUGCAAUAAUGCAAAUGCUCGGUUAAUAAACGAAUGAGAUGCACCGGUAUCAAAGAGAGUAAGAACUCUAAUGCCAGAAAUCAAAGUGAUACCUGCCACCACUCGGUCGGCCGCUGUAGAGUCCUCCACCUGGGCUGCAUAGACCCUGCCACUAGGAGCCUGCUGUCGCCGCUCACCCUGAUGCGGCGCAGAUGCCCUGUCCUCCUGGCGGUAGCGAUGCAGUGCUCCAAAAGACUGCUGAGGUGCUGAUGAUGCUGAAGCGGUCGAUGGCGCUGGUGAUACUGCUCGGGGACAAGCUGACCUCAUAUGCCCUGGCUGUCCACAUCCAAAACACCGACCCUCACGCUGCUCGCACUGCCGGGCCCAGUGUGGUCCCCCACAUAUCACGCACGGAGGUAACCCCUGUGACUGCCUCUGCUGCCGAGGUCCCCCAGAACGCCGAUGCCCCAAGAAUCCACGACUCUGAGAACGCGAUCGUGGAGGUCUCGGCGGACGCCGGCUGCUCGACUGUCCACCAUCGUCUGAAGCUGGGUGCUUCCUAUCCUGACUCUGCCCCACGGCCUGAGUUCUCUCCUGCAGUGACACCUCACCUCUCUCCACCGACAAGGCCUGCUCUGUGGACGCAUCCAGAGUCCUCGACCUCUGCAUCCGCGCCAACCUGAAAAUGUCGGGUCUCAGCCCCUGCUCAAACAGAUAGACCCUGUGUGCCUCGUCCCUGGCCACAAAUGGCACACAGUUCAGGAGUCGAGUAAACUCCCGAAUGUACUCCUGNUUGAUUGAAAUAAAUUCGAGCCGAGCUCGAGCUAGCCGAGUAUCGAGCCAAACACGAGUCGAACACGAGCCGACUUGCUCAUUUGCUUGCCCUAACUAGUCUAGUGACCUGCGCGAUGCAGCAGAUAGAUAACAGGAGAAAAAAUAUAAAAUGCUAAUAAGUUAUAUUUUUAUAAAUUUUUUAAAUAAAUACAUAAGAUGAGUGGCAGAAAGUUAUAGCAAAUUAAGGAUUGUAUAUUUGCUAUAUUGAGGGGAAUACAAUUAGGAGUUCAUAUCAAGAUUGAUAAAAAUUAAUCCAAAUAUAUAUAACCAAUCUGCACGAUCAAAUUCAAUAGUCUUGUCAACCAUCUAGGAGCUAGAAGUUAAGGCGUGGAAAAGAAAAACUCUAGCCACAAUAGAAACACCAUCAAACAUUUGAACGUUAUCACUAAAACACAAUUUACUUCAUUAAGGAUUAAUGAAAUGCAAUAAUAAGUUCAAAUAAUUUGCUUUAAGGACGUAGCUAUUGUCUUUUCUUCUCUCAUUGAACACAGAAGGGUUUAAAAAAUUCAUGGCUGCAAUAGUUACUAAAUGGUCGUUCAACUUGCCUUGCCAUCUAAGCUUUUACCCAUGUAUCUGAAAAAUACAGAUAGCUUAGAAGAUGAAAGAAAGUUAUUUAUAAAGGAGUACUUUGUUAAAUAUAAAUUGAUACAAUUUUCUAAUUAUCAUCACUUAUCUCAUAAGCGUGUAGAAAUGAGGUAGGUCUAUGAACCAAAGCACAUUAUAUAGCUUUAGAAAUAAAAAUAAAAACUUACAUAAUUAUAUAUGAUCUGCAAAGCAGAAGCAAUUUUAGCAUAAGCAUAUAAUUGGUCGCAGAUUGUCGGAUCAAACGAUAAUCUCCUUACAUGUUAGAGCAGAUUAAUGAAUACAAUGCCGGAAGAACAACCAUUGGAAACUGAUAACUUCGCCACCUUUCUGUUUAUUCUUUAUAUUUAUAUUUAUUUAUUUAUUUUGUAAAUUUUUAUUAAAAAAUUUUAUCUGCCGCAUUGCGCGGGUUUCUACACUAGUAUUUAUUAAAGUGCUAUGAACGUAAAGAUUCUGUUCACAUAAGGAUUUAAUCUUGCAUAUAAUAUUAAUUUAGCACAAAUUUAUUUUUAUUUUAUGUUUGUGGUCAAAUUAGAAUAUAUAAAGUUUAAAUUUGAUUACAAUAUUAUGUUUUAAAUUAUCGUAUAUACAUUCUUAUUUUGAUGGGAUGAACAUGAAAAUUAAAUAAUCAUAAUUAUUUUUAGAUUAUUUAAGAUUUCGCGCUAAGUUCAAUUAAUUUAUUAUUUCGAUUGGUUAGGUGUAAGUCAAAGCGGCCCUAAUUAAACGAAAAUAAUGAUUUAAUUUACUUUAAAGUAGUGCUUCCGGAUAAUUUUUAUGUUAAUCAUGCAGCACUAAGUCAGAUUAAUUUGUUACUUCAACUGUUCGGGUGCAAGCUCGACCCAGAUCAGAAAAAAAGAUAAAUUAAUCGUAUUAAAAAAGUGCAUGUAGAAAUUGCACCCUAAUAUUAUGUUUAGUCUGCUCUCAAAGGAAGGUCUAGAAAUGAAGGUACAUGAGUGGUGUAGGAUGGUAAUUUUCUCAUAACUCGUUUGGAGAAAUUUGCCUAGCCAAAGCUAACAAUUCUUUAUAUAAAAAAUUUGAAAUUAUCACGACCUGCAGAAAGUUUAAAUUAAUCUCCGAUAAAGAGAUUGUAUAUUUAUACUCAUAACUCUGCUCCCAAAGUAGGGGUUAUGAUGUCAUACAAGGUAUAUGCAUAAAGAAUGAAAAAUACUUAUGCUUAUAACCCUGCUCCCAAAUGAAGUGUUGUGAUGUUAUAUAAGAUAUAUUUUUUCUAAUUUUGGUUUAGUAAUUUUUGAUGUGGCAUUUUAUUGAUAAAACAUGUAUUUUAUUUUUCAGCUAUUACUUCAUCAUUUGUUCCUAUUGGUGAUUCUGUUCCCAUGCUUAAUGGGUCUAAUUACUUGGAGUGGAAAGAACAGAUCAUACUUACAUUAGGGUGUAUGGACCUUGAUUUGGCUUUAAGAGAGGAUAAACCUGCUCCUCUUACAGAUAAAAGUACACCAACCCAAACAACAUUUUUAGAAAAGUGGGAGCGCUCUAAUCGGCUUAGUUUAAUACUGAUGAAAGCGUUGUCGGUAAAAACAUUUGGAAUUCAAUUCUAGAAUGUAAGACAACCUACGAUUUCUUGAAUGCUGUGGAGCAACAGUUUGUAAGCUCUAGUAAAGCUUUGACGAGCACCCUAAUGAAUAAACUGUCUUCCAUUAAGUACUCUGGAAAUGGCUUGAUUUGCAAGUAUAUUAUGGAAAUGCGAGAUAUUGCAGCGUAGCUCACUGCACUUGAAGUAACCACCUCUGAUUCAUUCUUAGUGCACAUUAUUUUGAACUCUUUGCCAUCUGAAUAUAGGCUGUUUCAGAUCUCUUAUUACACAUAUAAAAAUAAAUGGUCAAUUAAUGAAUUGUUGACCAUGUGUGUGCAAGAGGAAGGCAGAUUAAUACAAGAGAAAUAAAAUGUAGUUAAUUUUGUUUAUCAAAAGAGACAAAUAAAGUGUGCUCAGAAUGGUAAGGGCAAGAAUGACUCAAAAGGAAAGAACAAGGAAGUUUCAUCUAGUUCACAAGGCCAAUCAAGUAAUUGGAAUCCCAAGUGCUUCUUUUGUAAGAGCAAGGAUCAUAUGAAGAAGGACUGCCAAAAUUAUCAGAAAUAGCUUCAAAAGAAGGGUAAGUUUUUUGUUUUGAUGCAUGAGUUGCAUUUAGUUUCUAUUCCGUCUAAUACUUGGUGGAUUGACUCUGGUAUCGCAUGCCACAUGACGAAUUCCGUGCAGCGAUUUCAGACUCGCAGGAAACCCUGUAAAGAUGAAGCGACUAUCUAUACAGCUGAAGGAAAUCCAACUAAAGUAGAAUUUGCGGGAAUAUUUAGAUUAGUUCUUUCUACUGGUCAUAUUUUGGAUUUAGAAGAUACAUUUUAUGUUUCAAAUUUUUCUAAGAACUUAAUUUCUAUUUUAAAACUUGUUGGACUAGGAUAUAGUUUCAGUUUUGAUAAUAAAGUUUUUUCUUUAUCCUAUAAAUCUCAGAUAGUUGGCUCUGGUGUUUUGAAAAAUAAUCUAUAUAAAGUAUCUUUACAUCAUUCAUAUAGUGAAAUCCUUUUACCAUGCACGAAAAUGUUGGAUCAAAACGUGGCAUUAAUAAUGAAAAGUCAUCCAUAUUAUGACAUAAGAGGUUGGGACACAUCUGGAAACAGAGAAUUCAAAGGUUAAUUAGAGAAGGUAUUUUAGAUGAUCUCGACUUUUCUGACUUUGGAACGUGUGUGGACUGCAUAAAAGAAAAGCAGACCAAAACCUCCUCUAAAAGUGCUAAAAGAUGUGAUGGAACAUUAGAGUUGAUUCAUACUGAUAUAUACGGACCUCUUCCUCUCUCAAUUAUUGGCCAUAAAUAUUUUAUCACAUUUACUGAUGACUACUCUCGAUAUGGCUAUCUCUACUUUCUUAAAGAAAAAUCUAAAGCAUUAGAUGCCUUUAAAGUAUAUAAGGCUGAAGUAGAGAAUCAACUCAAGAAAAGAAUAAAACUAGUCAGAUCAGGUAGGGGUGGUGAAUAUUUUGGUAGACAAACGGAUAAAGGCCAAAUUCUUGGACCUUUUGCUAAGUUUUUGGAGUAGUGCAGAAUUGUUCCACAGUACACCAUGCCAAGGACACCUGAUCAGAAUGGUGUUGCUGAAAGAAAGAACCACACAUUAAUUGAUAUGCUCAGGAGUAUGAUCAGUAAUUCUACCCUUCCGAUAUCAUUGUGGGGUGAGGCACUCAAAACUGCCCUAAAUCGGGUCCCUACUAAGCCUGUCACUAAGACUCCUUUUGAGCUUUGGACAGAUAGGAAACCCAGUUUAAGACAUUUUCAUAUAUGGGGUUGUCAAGCUGAAGCCAAAUUAUAGACCCACAAUUAAAAAAAUUGAACCCUCGAACCAUAUCAAGAUAUUUUAUUGGUUAUUGAGAAAGAUCCAAAGGGUAUAAAGUUUUACUAUCCACGACUUCUUAUAAAGAUUGUAGAAACUAAAAUAUCACAAUUUAUUGAGGAUGGUACAAUCAGUAGGAGCUCUGAACCUCGGUUCAUUGAAUUUGAGAAAAUUCAAGAGCAUUAAGAUUCUGUACAGGAUAGACCCACUGUUGUCCCUCACGAUUUGAUGGAUCCUGUUCGAGUAGAACAACAAGUUGUUUUGGAAUCACAAAGUGGUCAUGAACCUAUCAUUGAUAAUUCACAUCAAGAUGUACAAGUGGAUAAUUCACAUCAAAAUAUAAAAGUGAAUAAUCUGCAUCAAGAUAUAUAUGUGAAUAAUUAGAUAGAUUUAAGAAGAUCCUGGAGACAGAGAAAACCGACUGUAUCCAAUGAUUAUAUUGCUAUCUUUAUGAAAAUGACCAGAAUUUAAAUGAUUCUAUUGGUUUUUUCGAAGCCAUAAAUAGUAAUAAUUCUACAGAAUGGUACAAUGCCAUGAAGGAUGAGAUUGAAUCUAUGAACCACAAUAAGAUAUAGGAUCUUGUUGAGUUACCUAUAGGAGUUAAACCCAUAGGAUGCAAGUGGUUUAUAAAACCAAAUGGGACUCCAAAGGUAACAUAGAGAGAUACAAGGCCUGUCUUGUGGUGGACUAAAAUAGGCCUUCCGUCAAUGGUAUUUAAAGUUUAAACAAACUAUUCUAACCUUUGGUUUUAAAAAAAAUAUUGUUGAUCAAUGUAUUUAUCUAAAUGUUAGUGGGAGUAAAAUAAUAUUCUUAAUCCUUUAUGUUGAUGAUAUUUUGCUUGCUAGUAAUGAUUUGGGCAAUUGCAUAACACUAAAGAAUUUCUUUUUCAAAAUUUUGAAAUACAUAAUUGUAAGCCUAGUAUUGCUCCUGUCCAGAAAGGGGAUAAGCUUAAUAUUUUUCAGUGUUCCAAGAACCAAUUAGAAAUUGAACAGAUGAAGAACAUACUUUAUGCCUCUAUAGUUGGUAGCCUUAUGUAUGCACAGAUGUGCACACGUCCGGAUAUUGCUUUUGCAGUUGGAUUACUUAGCAGGUAUCAAGGUAAUCUAGGUAUGGAGCAUUGGAAGGCUGCUAAGAAGGUUAUGAGAUACUUAAAGAAAAUUUUGGAUCAUAUUGCAUGUUAUGAGACCACAUCACAAGCUAUUUGGCUUAGAAAUUUUAUCACAGACUUAAAGAUUGUGGACUCCAGUGCUCGUCCAAUAAAAUUUUUCUGUGAUAGAUCAGCUGCUGUUUCCUUUAUCAAUAACAACAAGAUUACAAGGGGUUGUAAACAUUUGGACAUCAAAUAUCUUACGUGAGAGAGAAGAUAGAGGAAGGUUAUAUUACAAUUGAAUACAUUAGUACCAAGUAUAUGAUUGCAGACCCAAUGACUAAGGGGCUGGCACCUGGGUCAUAUACAGAUCAUGUUAGAAGUAUGUGUUUGAUUAGUUCAUUUGAUGUAUAAAAUUAUAGCAUUCUAUCUUUUCAAUAAAGUUAAAAUUUUAAUGCAACUAUGUUGGACCAUUUAAUAGGCAUAAAGUUUUGUCUGUUAACGAACGGACAUAUAGUUUUAAGUUCAUUCAUAAAGAUGUGCCGUAUAAAGUACUUGGCUAGGAGAUGAGAUGAUAUGGUAAUUAUGGAAGAAAAAUUUCAAUAUGAAGAGGUGGACAGCCAUAGUUACUAUCAUUGUAGUCUUUUAGUUUGAGCUAAAGAUCAAGUGAGUUCUAAGGUAUUUGAUCAUAAAGUUUUCAAUAAUGCGCAAUAAAGUUUGGAGUAUAGAAAGUCCGUUCAUGAAGUAUGAUUAAUAUGAGCCAAGUGGGAGAUUGUUAGGAUUUUCAUAAAUGUGGCCCAAUUAUUCAUAUUCAAAUCUGGAUUUACUAUAGAUAAAGGUUAAUCCUAAUAGAUAUAAAACUACUUGAUAUAGUAUAUUUUAUCCCUAUCCCAUCUAUUUAACUUAAAUAGAAUCCUAAUCAGACUUUGAUGGAAAAUCGAUUUAGACUCUAUAUAAAGAGGUAUUAGUCCUGCCACCUUCUUUUACGUAUUCUAGUAAAAAAAUACCAUUUGUUCCACACUAUAUGGGAGAGUGCCUGAGAUAGGGGGAGAAACCAAAUUACCCAAGUUUGGUUCGUGACUUCCAGAUCAUAGCCGAAUUUCUCGCUUUCGCAGAUUGAUCAAGAAUUUCUUCUCUAUAGCGCUCUGUGAGUUAAUUUAUUUUAUUUUGAUCCAAGAUAUUGGUAUGUAUUUAAUUUUCUUCUUAUUUCACAUACCUAGAAAGAUCCAUCAUUUACAACACUUGUUUUCAUAUAAAAUAUUACACUAUUUUUCAUUUACCAAAAUAGGUACACACUAGAUCUCUCUCUCUCUCUCUCUCUCUCUCUCUCUCUCUCUCUCUCUCGGUCUAACUACUUCGUGAUGUCUUUGUCGUGGUCUCGCGCCUCUCGGGCGAUAGUAGAGUCUAAAAAAUAACAAAUCACCAUGAAUGAGAACUAUAAAUAAGUUUUCAAUGGGUGCAAAAGUUGUACUCUAUUCCUUGCUUCAAUCUCCACCAAGUCCCCCUCUUAGAUUCACCCUUGAGAGAGCUUCUAGAGAGAGAGAGGGAGAAAAAUGAGUAAAGGGGAGGUUCUCUGGCUAUGAACACAAGAGAGGGUGAUGGGGUCCAUUUAUAGACUGCCACAAUUACAAUAAAACCCCUCAACAAUUGCCAUUUGCAACAUACUGCAAUCUGCAGUUUUCUGCACUUGGUACCGGUACGCGGGUAAUCUGUCACCAGUUUAACAGCUGCGCAGAAGCCAAACCUGAGAACUGCCUUCUCGGGUAGCUGGUCUGAUAUCGAUACGCAUGAGGGGUGUCACCGGUUUAACAGCCAAGAUUACUCAAACCCGAGAGCUACUACUCUCGGUCAGCUACGGGGUACCGAUACCACCUGAUUUAGUCACCCGUUACAAAAUGCCCAGACUGUAGUUUAGCAUUUGGUCGACUUCUAUUUCGCGCCGAGCAAUGCUAAUACUCAAUUAUCUCUUCUAGAACUCAACUUUGACCCUUCCAACAUCCUUGGAAUGUCACAUAGACUAUGUCCAAGCAUCUCUCUCGCCACGCUUUGGUCCUUUUGACCAAAAGUGGUUUAAUACGUCGGGGAAUCAAUACCUUACAAAGAUAGGCCGGAAUUGCAGAUUAAUAAUGCCUUUAGUGAAUGGAGCUGUCACGCCCGAGUUUCAGCGGAAGUAUACCCGAUACAUGCACAGACCCGCCAUAUACCUACAGUAUAUAAGGCGUCUACUAAAAUCAUGUCAGAAAAGAAGCAACUAACAGAAGAAUCUAACAUGAUAUCAAAGCAUAGGAUAUAUAUAAAAGGUACCAACAGCUAGCAGAUAAAUGAUACAACUCUACUAAAAACAACAGUAAGUAGAAGCAUAGAACCGUAUAGUACAACUCUCUACAACCAAUAUACACCAUAGUGUCAACCAAAACUAUAUACAAAUGGUAAUUUCUCUAUACACUGGUACACAUCAUCCUCGUCGACCCAAAACCAUAAUAGCGAGGUGAUCACCUAGUAGGACUCCACGCUACGUCUAGAUAGACGCGACUCCCUUGCUGCGAUCCCUAGCCUUUCCCGUAGUGGAUGGCUCUGCAAACAAACAACAACAAAAUGGCGUGAGAACUAUUAAACAAUAGUUCCCAGUGGCGAAGAGUUCCCGGUGUCGAUUAUCGCACGGGAAGUGCGCAAGUUGCGGAACCGCGAGAUCCCCUAUGUGCAAGUUCGGUAGAGCAAUCACGAUGACCGUGAAGCCACUUGGGAACUCGAGAGGGAGAUGAAAAAGCAUCACGCUCACCUAUUUGAGGAAUAAGGUAUAAAUUUGAGUUAUGUUGGAAUUAGAUUAGUUUUGAGGACGAAACUCCUUUUUAGGAGGGGAGGAUGUAAGAAGUGAAUUCUCGAAAUUCGAGAGUGGGACUUCGCUCAGAGUCGACUAAUUGUCAAGUGGGUAUGCUUCGGAAAAGCCGAGAAAGUCAAAAACUCAAAAAGUGCAUUGCAAUGGAUCCGCGAGAGCAAGUUGUGCAAAAAUCUGCACUUGUCAGAAAUUGCUCUUGGGGACCGGUCCUAGGCGGGAGAGACCUGUCCCUGUAAGCAUUGUGUGCGGUAGAAAAUCUCUGCGCACAAGUAUUGCUCUCGGGGACCGGUCUCUAGCGGGAGAGACCGAUCCCCGUAUGCGUAGGAAAUGGGCAGGGCCCCCUGCCCGCAAAGACUGCUCUCGGGGACUUGUCCCUCUAGGGACAGACCGGUCCCCGUAGCCCGAAACUGCCCAGACUGGGCUGUGUCUUGUUAGAAUCUAGGGAUUUGUUGGAGUAGAUUUGCAAUAGUGCAAACCUAGGGCUCCAAAUUGGGGCUUUGCUUAUUAAUGAGGUUUGAUCUCAAUUGAUGGCCUCUUAACCUAAUUGCUAGGUGUCUAAACGCGUUGGCGAAGACAGAUUGACGAUUUGUCGAGUCGUUGAAAAGUUAUCGGCAAAACAAGACCGAUUGUGCUUCGUUUCCACCUAGGAGGUCGAAGCGACGUUGAAGCAAGUGCUGAAUAGCAUUCUUAGCACCCCGACGUCGUCGAAAGGUGGGUGGUGUCAUCCCGAAGCAACCGGGUUAAUCUCUAUGUCUUAGUACAUCAUUAUUUGCAUCUCUCGCAUAUAUGCAUUGUAGAAUUGCAUUGUUAUUCCACUCCUUAUGCUUUCUAAUUGAUAUCAUAGUGUGAGUUGAAUGCUUGGUAUAAUGGAUACGUAAGGAUUGGGUCUGGACAUUGAAUCCUAUAGUGCCGAGGAAAAGAGAUGACUCGAUGAUGGCUUAGUGACAUAACGAGUGGCAUGUAAAUAAGAACGAGAACAAAACGAGUGGCAUAUAAUGUAGUGUACAAUGACAUUAGUGACAUAUGAACUUAGGGAUAGGUGGACUCCCUAGAGAUGACUCGUUGAACAAGAACCUAGUGUAGUCAAAUGCUUACUCAUGGACAUUGGGAUAGGUGGAUUCCCGAGUGACAGCUAGCCCUAGUAAAUAGGGUAUCCUCGAGUUAAGAGGAUGGAUCAUACUCACAGUCUGUUUAUACUUGUGGUGGUCGCGCCACACAAGUCGUCGUGCACUCCAAAGUUUGGUGUGAGAGGGGCAGAGUUGAUGUCACGCCCCGGGACCGAGCGGAAGUCCGCCCGGCACGUGUCCAGACCCGCCAUAUGUCUAAAACAUAUAAGGCGUCUACGAUAAAGCAAUAAAUAAAACAAUAAUACGAAGAGUCUAACGAUAUCAGAGCGAAGUACAUCUAGAUUUCUACAUCAUGAUAAGGUAAAAGAAGUCCAAAUCCACUAAAUAGAAGUCAUAAGUAAUACAAGAGAUGUCCCAGAACAAGUGCUAAAAGAGUACAUAGGUGGUCUCUAUACAUGGUACAAAAAUCUCUCUCUCUACUACAACAAAAGAAAGAGUAAACCACCUAAGAGCAAGUAGCUCCCCGCUAUCUAGCUAGGCGACACCCUUGCCGCGAUCUCGUGCCUCCGCCGGUGCUGAAGGCUCUGAAAUAAAACCAUAAAAUAGGGGGCGUGAGAACUAUUAAUUAAUAGUUCCCAGUGGGCAAUUACUGACUUCAGUGAAAAGCACCACUAGGCCCAAAAGAGUUAAAAUAGGUAAGUAAACAAGUAAAAGCGAUAUGAACGACAUGUAAGUAAACAUGUAAACUUGCUACCAUAUGAUGUCUCUACUUAGCAUGAAUUUGCAUAAGUAAUGAAGCUACUGUAACAUAUAAGUACAUGAGUGUAACUAACAUAAUGUCCCCAAGCUAAAUAGCACAAUGUCAUUGUUUACUAUUCUAUCGGUGUCCACUUCGCAUGUUAACUACUUAAAGUUUAAAUCUUGUAAGACCCACCCGAAGGCUGUCUGGCCUGAAGACCCACCCGUAGGCUAUCUGGCCGGUGCCGUGCCUAAUGGCCCCGUGGUAGUCAACAUCCCCGCUCUAGGAAUGAGCCUUGCCCACGGCAAUCUACUUCGGUGCCCAAUCCUGCACGGUGAGUAUGUAUCGCGAUGGCUAUCUCCGGAGUGCCGGCUUGUAGGGAGCGACCCUCACAAGCAUGUGCGAAUGAGCACAAAGGCAAGUAAGCAUAUAUGUCCGUCUCAAGUCUCAAGUUUCAAGUCAUCAUGUCUAAAACAUGGAAUAUAGCAACUGUGUCGAUGGCCUAUCACUAUGUCAUCAUGUCUAAAACAUGGAAUAUAGUCGAUGUCUAAUGGCCUAUCUCUAUGUCUCUAUGUUGCAGUUUCAUAGUUUACCAGUUCAAGUGCCCCUUUAUGGCACUUUUGUCCACUAAAAUCGAAGCAUGAUUUUGGUGUUCAUGAAUACCUAAUUUGAGUCAUUUUUAAACAUAGGAGACAUGUUUCCAACCUGCUAACAUGAAUACUUCUCACAUGCAUGCAAAACACCCAGAAUGCUCUACUAUAUAGAGUAAAAUUUUUAUGAUACAUAAGGCAUGCAUUUUAAGCAUUCUAAAAUUCAUAGAAAUUCUAUCUGGCAUGAAUAUGCAUGAAUUUUAACGUUAUGACGAGUAUAACACCCAUAGGGGCAUUUUGCCCCGGUUCCAUGAAGUCAAACCCACCGAGCUUCAACGCCGCUCUUUGAUCGUGCCGACGAAGGUUACCGCCACUCUCCUAGCACUCUAGAGGUAAUACUAAAAGAGUUAAACGAACCUUACGAACAACACUAAGCUCAAACUUUAAUCGUCUCAAGAAAAGGGCAAAACUCACCUCUUGUGUGAAAAUUCCUUCUCAAGCUCCAAAGGAGAGCUAGAACCCUUCCAAUCCAACCUAAAGGAGGGUUCUAAUCCAAGAGAUUGAGCCCCAAAAGCCCUAAAUCCAAAAUGCCCAAAAUCAACCCUAGGUUCCCAUUCUAGGGUUCAUCUCAAAGGAACCAUCAAAACAAGGAUCCAAAAGAAAGAAACUUGUUACCAACCUCUUGGAAGCUUCAAUCCAAGCCCAAAGUCCACAAGCUCCCAAGAUCUUCCCUCAAACAAGCUCCAAGUCCAAGCUCCAAGCCUCUACCAAGGUAGAAAUUGCUCCAAAAGGCAAAAAGAAAAGUAAAUCCACCAAAAUCCAAGCUAAAAAGGGGGUCAAAUCCAAAUGGGAUGGUGAAGAGGGCUCCUUUACCUCUUUCCCUGCUGGUGCCAAGCUCAGGGAAGGCCCUAGGGGCAUGGGGUGCUAUAUAGAAUAGCAACAAUCGCAAAAACACCCCUACAGUUCGACAAGUUCAGAUUCUGCCAAAGUGUACCGGUACACGAGAAAGUGUACCGGUACAAAUCCCGCGAAAAUGGCAACCCGAGCCUCGGGUUGGCCAAUCACCAUAUCUGUACCGGUACAACCAUCAAGGUGUACCGGUACACUUUCUUUACCGGUACAACCAUCAAGGCUGUACCGGUACAUAGCCCUGCUGAGGCAACCCGAGAGCAGACCCAAAAAUCCAAUCUUUUGGAUUUUGGUGCUAAGUUUUAAACCUCAAUUCUCGAAAUACGAGCCAUAGGUCGGAACACUGUCAACGACCCACCAGAAAAUCUGAAAAAAAUCAGAACACAGAUCAAACACUCGAACCUCGCAAUUUGCAAAGGUCCAGUGUGUUACAGUUGAUGUCCCGCAGACGGUCCCGGGUUUGAGAGCGAGGUGAGUCUCCUUACCAUACGGGAUGGCGAGGUGAGUCGGGGCGAACCCGAGGGAUCGCCAAGGAUUGAGUAAACAAGAGAAUAGCACUGUUUAUUGAACAUUUGCUUAUUGGACAUUGUUAUUGGAUAUUGUUAUUGGACAUAGUUGCAUGUUAGUUGAUCACUCACUAUAUGAUGCAUGCAUACAUUACUCUUGAUUAGGCAAAGUAGCAUAGUUUUCCUACUAUGCCAUUUACUACUUUCAUUAUAUAUCUAUCUAUCUAUAUAUCUGCUUUUGCCCACUCGGACCUAGUGGGGAGAUCGGCGAAGUCGGCGGCCGAACCCACUGAGAACUAUGAACAAUAGUUCUCACCCCACUUUGUUGUAGGGCCUAGUACGAGUACGCCGGGCUAGGACUGUGGCAAGGGCAUCGCGCCCGAGUAGUAGUGCAUAGCAGCUAUCCUAUUUUGCAUUAGUAUCACCCUAUGUAUAUGAGUGACUUAUGUCGGUGAGGAUUGGAGAGCUAUGUAUGUAUUUUGGUGAUGAUCUAGUAAACAUGUAUCCAUUUUGGAAAAGAUGUAAUGUAAAUUGAAGUAAAUGAAUGCAAUGUGAUGUAAUAGCUAGUAGAUCUCUCUUUUGCUCACUUGUAUGCACAUGUGACUCUUGCUCUUAGUUGUUGGCACUUGUUGUGCCCUUCGUUGAUUGUGUAUGUAUAGAAUUUCUAUUCCUGGGCAAGUUCUUGUACAUGAUCAGGUUGUUUGGCCUUGGGCGGACAGGGGAGGUGCUGUCCGUUCGGCGUCUGUUCGACGCGCCCGAACCGGACCAACUUGGUAGCGAUCUCGGGGUGUGACAACUAGGUUUAUGAUGUGUGAAAAGAAACAUGUAUAUCCAUUGCAUAAAGAAAGUAAUACUGCUACAACCAAUUAGUAAAUAUUAAAAUUACUAGGUUCCCAAUCUCAUAAUAAUUACAUGCAAGUGAAAACUAUGAUAUACAAGUAAGCAUGCUAUCUCAUUUAUGAAUGUACACUACCGAGUAGUGAUUAAUAGUAAUAUAGUUUAGUAUUUGUUUAGUUCAUACAGAUCUACAUCAGGUAGUCCAGCUUGCGCCGCACCUAAUGGCCCCGUGGUAGUAAACACUCCCACGGCAAUCCACUUCUGCACCCAAUCCCGCACGGGCGAGCAAUCUGUCGCAUAGGCCAACUCCGGAGUGCCGGCUUGUGGGGAGCGACCCUCACAAGCAUGUGCGAAUGAGCACAAUGGCAAGCAAGCAUGAUCCAUAGUCCACAAGUCCUCAAUCGUCAUGUCUCAACAUGAAAAGAUCUCUACCGACCUAUAGGUCGGAAUCUAAAGACAAUAGAGAAUACUAGUAUCAAUUAGAUUAUACAAUCAUAUGAAAUUGAUGCUAGUUUAAACAUGUCAUUUGCAUUGGAAACUUGUCUACACAAGUAUUCUAAUUAUCAAGUCAUGGAUUUAAUAUCAUGUUCUCUACUUUAUAGAAACAUACUGGUUCAUAGCAUGCAAUGAUAAUCCAUACGUUGAGUCCUUUUUUAUUAUACUACUAGCAUAAGCAUGCCAAAUCGAGCUAUGUGUUUACAUAUAGUGCUGAGAACUAAUUAAACAUGCUAAGUAAUAUACUAGUUCUCAAUUCUCAACUUUAUAAGGUUCUACUUCAACAGUAUGAAGCAAACAUGUUAGCUAUCUUAACCAUAAUGCACAUAGUGAGUCUAAUAACACCGCAAUACGUGAUCCACAAUUCUAAAGCAUUACGAAGAACAUAGAGGGAAGCCACUUAUUCCGAUGAGGUCAAACCCACCAAACAGUUGACGCCUCUUGUCAACUCCGAAAGUGAGGGUAUCCACAGGACUCCAAGUACCCUAGCAAGCAAAUCAAAAUCAGCUAGGAGCAUAUUUUACAUCUCUAUGCCAAAGUAUACAAGAACCCCACAUAAUCAUCUAGUUUGGGCAAGAUUCAUACUUGAGAUUGAAUCAGGGGUAAUUCCACUUACUGUAGGUUAAAAUACACCAACUCUAGCCAUUAAUAUCCACCAAAAUUCCAACCAAAAGGUUCCGCACUUGGCCGAAAACCUGCUGCGAACAACUGCCCAGAAUCAGCAUUAAUAUACUAAUAAUUGCAGUUGAGGCUAGAGUUUCACUUGUUUAGAUUCCCCGCAUGGAAUUCUACUUCCUACUAGUUGAAAUACCUUCAAAACCAACUCGCAAGAUCCCAAUAUCCCGUUCCAAAGGAAUAUUUCAGCUGCUGAAAGCCCAAACCCGAAAUCAACAUUAAUACUACAUCAUUACAUCUAAUUUAGCACCAAUAAUGCAAUUGGUUAAAUAAUCACCUUCUCAAGGCAUCACUCUAGCUUUCCCCUAGAUUUUAGGUAGAGAAAUCACAGCAAAAGACUCUUCUCUAGCUGCUGAACUAUCCCCAACCCUGCUGGCAGCAGAGAGACCAAACAAAAUCAGCUCAAAUCCAUUACUACACCUCAAACUAGUGAGUAAUUGAGUAGCUUACCUCUCCAAAGCAUCAACCCAGCUACUGCUAUGCUCAAAGCUGCGAAACACUCCUCAAAACCCUUCUUCUUCCUUCAACAACAGCUCCAAGGCACUCCCAAUCAGCUAACAUCAAGCAAGGAGAAGAAAUCAAGCUUAAACCUUUGAUAUCUUUGUAAAGAGGGAAAAACCCUAGAGAGAGAAAGUGAGGAAGGUGCAAAACCCUUUCUCUGAGCUCUAGUGACCCUCCAGCAACUUCAGGAGUCGUGCUGGCCUAGUUAGAGAUAAGGUUGAAUGCCAAAAGACCAAAGAAGCCCUUGCUGCCACGCAGCAGCUAUGCUGGUACCGGUACUAACACACUCUGGCACCGGUACCCUGUACAAAAUACAGAAUUGGCAUUUCGUAAUGCACUUUCUUGCUUCCGACAGUCUAAUCCCUCUACUAACUUGCCAAACACCUUCCUACAACCCUUUAAAAGUUGUGGGUUCAUUCCAAUUACCAAUCCCACUCUCGAACUUCGCAAUUUGCCAAGUUCAGAGUACUACAGGAGCAACGAUUUUAUUAUGGAUAGUUUUGUGAAUUUUGUUCGUUGUUUAUGAAUUCUGUACAUCUUAAAAAUUGCAUUUGUAUGUAAUUGAAGCAUCCAUUUAGCAGUCUUUGAAAAUGAACUUGGGAAAUUUUUUUGGCCUUCAUUACAUUCGUUGUUGGAUCCUUGCAAAAUUGAUGAUGGAUGUAUUGUGUACUUAGACACUUCUUAAAUUUCUAAUUUCCCAACUGGUUUGCCUGUAGUUUUCCAAAAAAAUAAAAAAUAAACUUAAAUUUAAGUAUUACGAUUUGUUUGCAAUUUGGACCGCCGUUUGGCAGCCAAUGUGUACAAAGAAUUCCUCGGCAUAUUCUUUUUAUUGUUUUGUUGCUAUAUGUAUGUUUGGCUCAAUUCAGGUGGAUUGGAUGCAUUUCUAUACUUAAUACACCCAGCUUAGAGAUUUACUCUAUUUUUUGUCUUUGGUUCUUCCCAGUUUUCCAUUUUAACUGCUUUAUCUGUAUGGAUCAUUGCAUGCUUAUGUGGGUGCUUGAGGGUUGAGAAUGUACAGAGCCUAGCCUGCUUUCUGACCUGAUUUGGAGGAUUCCUUUCUACAUUACCAUAGUAUAACUAUAUAUCGAACUUUAUUAUUAUUAUUUUCAACUUUGUUGUAUUUUUCUGAUGAUUCACCACUUCUGCCACUAAACACUCACAUUAAAGAAAAGAGGGAAACAAGACAAUGGAAUGAUGAUCAUAGGGACUAUCAUAACAAUUUAAACCAUGCGCUUUUAUUAUACUUUCUGGCAAUAAAACCUUCAUUUGCAUAUUUGGCAUUUAGCGUAUUCUUUUUAUUUAGUAAUGAUGGCCAGUGCACUAUCAAUUUAGAUGGAGAAGUCAAACAUUACAAAUAUAGUGAAACAGUACAAAUAUAUCUUUAUAGCAUCUAAGUCUUCUUUAUAUAUUGAUCAAAUGUUUGGAUAUGCUUCACCUUAUUGGAUUGCUAAAGUUCUUUCACCUAUAUUAACUUGACAUUUUGAUGUGGACAGGUAUUGACUUUGUUUGCUGCACCACUAUUAGAGAAACAAAUUGUGUUCAAAUUUUGCUAAUGCUUGCCCGUAGUACUUAUCUCUUGCUCAGAUUCAGGAGGCUCUGAUUUUAGCUCUGAUUAGUUCUGAUUUUGUGAGGGGAGGAAAAAUAGUGCAUGCUUUUGUUGCUAUAUGUAUGUUUGGCUCUAUUCAGGUGGAUUGGAUGCAUUUCUAUGCUUAAUACACCCAGCUUAGUGAUUUAAUCUAUUUUUUGUCUAUGGUUCUUCUCAGUUUUCCAUUUUUUUUUUUUGUAAGUGUCCUGUCUAAGGUCUUAGAAAUUAUAUAUCAUGUUAAUUACUGCAGAAAACCAAGCAUAAGUAGGCAGUAGAUGCCUUUUGUCUAUGGUGAAUGUAAUUAAAGAUGAAAAAAGUUAGUGAGUUUAUGUUCAAUUCUGAAUUUUGCUUAUCUGUUGUAAAACUAUGUUAGAUUAAGAUAGGUCGGAAUUGCAGAUUAAUAAUGCCUUUGGUGGAUUGAGCAGCGAUUUUAUUAUGGAUAUUUUUGUGAAUUUUGUUCGUUGUUCAUGAAUUCUGUACAACAUCUUAAAAAUUACAUUCGUGUGUAAUUGAAGCAUCCAUUUAGCAGUCUUUGAAAAUAAACUUGGGAAAUAUUUUUGGCCUUCGUUACAUUCAUUGUCAGAUCCUUGCAAAAUCGAUAAUGUAUGUAUUGUGUACUUAGACGCUUCUUAAAUUUCUAAUUUCCCGACUGGUUUGCCUGUAGUUUUCCAAAAAAUUUAAAAACAAACUUAAAUUUAAGUAUUACGAUUUGUUUGCAAAUUGGGCUGCCGUUUGGCAGCCAAUGUGUAUAGCCCUCGGCAUAUUCUCUUUUUAUUGUUUUGUUGCUAUAUGUAUGUUUGGCUCUAUUCAGGUGGAUUGGAUGCAUAUCUAUGCUUAAUACACCCAGCUUAGUGAUUUACUCCAUUUUGUCUCAAAAAAAUAUAUAUUCUGAAUCUGAAAAAAUUCAAAUAUUUUCUUCCCGCGGCAUCGCGCAGACCCUUACCUAGUAAUAUUUAAAGAGAAUCGAAAAAAUGAUAGGCAGGUCCCGCAUGCUUGAAGAUAAGGAUCCGAUUCAGAAAAAGAUCUUUUCUCGAAACCCUAAAACAACAUGUGGGUCCCACAUGCCCUAACAUUUAAAGAGGAAUAAAAAACUGACAUGUUGGUACCACAUGCCCCAAAUUAAGCCAAACGAACCACAACUGUCAGGUAGAUCCCACAUGCCCCAAAUUAAGCAAAACUUGCCAUGUGGACUGAAAAUUAGAUUUGAAAAAUUACAAAUGCAGCAAAAACAAAAGUGGGGAUCAUACAAAAGUAGGGAAAAAGAGAAGAAACGAAACCAACCAAAAAAAAGUAAGAACAACAUGAUGUGUAGGCUCAGAAAAUCAAUAAGUUAUAUCAGAAAUCAACAUAGGGGAUUUUCACAUGUAAAACAUCAUCGAAACAAAUUGUAAGGUUGAUCAAUGGCUGCAACAGUUGCAUAAAUGCCAUCCAAGUUGCCAUACCAUGCAAAAUCUUUGUUGAUAUUCAAUCAUUAUUUUUUUUUCAUUCGGUCAUCAUCGCCAACACCAAAAGAAAAAUCAGUGAAACAGCAGCAGUAGAGCGAGCAUUACUUUUUUAAAAAAUAAAUCCAAAAAGAAUGAAAGAAACCAAACCUACAGUAAAUCGUAACCAUUAUUUCUCUAUAUUUGCAAAGGCAGGAAAAAGAAGUAGAAGAAGCAAACCAACAAAAAAAUGAGUAAAACAACAUAGAUGUAUAGGGUCAGAUAAUUAAUAAGUUAUAUCAGUAAUCAACAAAUUUGAUUUCCACGUAUGAAAUGUCAUCGAAACAAAUUGUAACGGUGAUCCGUGGUUGCAGCAGUUGCCUCAAUGGCAUCCAAGUUGCCAUACCAUGCAAAAACUUGGUCGAUACUUAAUUAUUAGAUUUUUUUCGUUUGGUCAUCAUUGCCAACACCAACAGCAAAUUCAGUGAAAUAGCAGCAGGAGAGCUAGAAGCAUUUUUAAAAAAAUUAGACACGGAAAGAACGAAAAGAACAAAAUCUGUAGCAGUAUAUCACCAUUCUUGACGGAACCAUUUUUCCGGGACCAUUUGUCCGAAACCUGUAACAACAGUGGGACCAUUUUUCCAUCUAGAGGCGAAUCAUUUGCCAGGAAUGAAGCGGGACUAAUGGAAACGUCAAGGAGUGAAGGAAGAUCGAUGUCAUAUAUGGCCCAAUUUUUCAUCCAUAGAAGAGGACCGAUGGUUUUUGAAGCGACGACAAAGAAAGAAAUGAACCGCCAAACCGAUUCAGAAGAGCAUCCGGUUUUUCGAAGAUGAAAAUCCGGUUUAGAAGAGCCUCCCUAACAAAUAGGUGGGUCCCACAUGCCAUAAACUUUUAAACAGAAAUUGAAAAACUAACAGGGAGGUGCCACAUGCCCCAAAUUAAGCCAUACAUGCAACAUGAAUAGUUUGGUCCCAUAGAUCAAAAAGUAAGCCAAGCAUGUCACAUGGACUAAAAAUUUGGGGAUUAAUGUAGGUGUAUAGAUAGAUAGUAUUAGAAAAAGAAGAACAUGAAGCAAAACCAACAAAAACGGAUUAAAAACAAUAAAGAUGUGUUUCCACAUUUAAAAUGUCUUUGAAAUAAUUUGUAAGAGAAAUCAGUGGUUGCAACAAAUGUCUAAAUUCCAACCAAGUUGCCAUACCAUGCAAAAGCUUUGGCAAUUUUAUUCAUGAAAUAGGUUGAAGAAGUAUAAAAAUUAAGCCAAGCAUGCCACGUGGAUUAAAAAUUACGGGUUAACAUAGGUUUAUAAAUAGAUAUUAUUAGAAAGGGAAGAAGAUAAACAAAACCAAUGAAAGAGGAGUAAAAACAACAAAGUUGUGUAGGUUUAUGGCAGAGACAAAUUUGGUUUGUACUCAAUAUACUACUUAUAAAUAGGUGAAUUGGAGUUAACAAAAAAUUAUUUACUUAUACACAGAAUUUCAAAAACCAUGAUGAAUUUGCUGAAAAUUUUUUUUGUCUAUUUCUAUAGUCAAAAUAUGUAAUUUGUUUCAGCAUAAGUUUUAGAAAUUAUAGUAAAAGAACUAACAUAAGUAGCAAUAGGAGAAGAAAUAGAGAUUUAUUUCAAUUUGUUAAGUUAACUGUGCCCUUUUUUCGUAAUUCCAACAAUAUCAAUUAUAGAAAGCAGUUUUAAACAAAAAAUAAGAUUGGUCUUUAAUUAAUUUUUAAAUAAAAAAUAUUUUUUUAAUUGGAGAUAAUUUUAUUAUUUUAUAUAUAAAAUAAUAAAUUUUGUAAGUAAAAAUCAAAUAUAUUAAUCAAACGAAUAAUUUAUUAUUGCAAUACAUCUUGCUAUAUCCCACUAAAAAAGAUGAAAGCCAAAUAUAAAUAAACUUUGGCAUUCAUUGUAAAGAAAACUAAAUCCUAUCAAGACACAAAAGCUUCUCAUUUUAAUUGCCAUAUAAUAGAAAUCUAUAUUUUUCACAAAGUUUUUCUUUUAUCUAAGCUGAUAAUUGCAAAGAUGUGAAUUGUUCAUUCCAUUCUGAGAACAAAUCUUAUGCAUCACAAUGGAUAGUAACAAAAGUACUAAAAAUAUUAAUACAUUUGUUCAUCAAAUUAAAUUUUUGAAAUCAUUGAAAAUUAAACUAUAAUGGCAAAAUUUAUUUUCUUUAGAUGAACAAAUUUUCGGAAGAAGUAAACUUUGUCGUCAUAUUAUUUGUUAAUAUAUAUAGUAUUGUCACACACAAUUAAUUUCUAAUGAUUAAUUUUAUUUUUUUAACGUUUAUAUCAGACACAUGGAUCCAAUAAGCAUAUAUAUCUAAAAAAUAGAUGAACUGAAAACUUACAGAUUCAGAUCCGAACAAUUUCAGUUGAAUAUUGUUAGCUUCCUGAAACAAAUAAAUAAAUACUCAGUAUUUAAAACUUCUAAAUUAAAUAGUAAGCAAUCCAAAUUACAAAAAAAAUAAUAAUAAUAACCAAUCGACAGAAGUACACAACGCUGCGACCUUUCUUAAUCUCUUGGCUCUGAGAAGAGAUGUGGAAGUUCUUCUUAGAAGCGGAGAUGUCGCAGGAUGCAGAGCAAAAGAUAGCAGAUGACCAUUAUAUAGACACUGAGAGGUAUGGGAAAAGACAGACAACCCUUCGGCGCUAAUGAAAACGGCGCGAAGGGAAGCAGGAUUGAUGUCGUAUAUGGCCCAAUUUUUCGUCCAUAGAAGAGAAACGACGGUUUUCGAAGCGACGACAAAGAAAGGAACGAACCGGCGAACCGAUCUAAUGCGGCGUUGGAAGACGAAGCGAUAAUGAAUCGAGACCAAUUUAGAAUCGAGAGGCGAAUCAUUCGAUGGGAAUGAAGUGGCGCCAAUGGAAACAGCAGGGAGGGAAGCAAAAUCGAUGUCGCACUUGGCCCUAUUUUCCGUUCAUAGAAGAAAAACGAUGGCUUCCGAAGUGACGAAGCGAACCGGCAACGAUGGCUUCCGAAGCGACGAAGCGAACCGGCCUAAAGCGACGACAAUGGAAAAAGCGAACCGACGAACCGCUUCAGAAGUGGACCCAUUUUUUCAAGAUAAGGAUCGAGUUCAUAAGAGUAUUUGCUCUCUAAACCCUAAAACCAAUAGGUGGGCCCCACAUGUCAUAUAUAAUAUUUAAAGAGAAACGAAAAAUUGACAAGCAGGUCUCACAUGCUAAAAUAUUUUCUCUAAACCCUAAAACAACAGGUAGGUCCCACAUGCCCUAAAUUAAGCCAAACAUACGACAACUGAUAGGUAGGCCCCACAUACACCAAUUAAGCAAAACUUGUCACGUGGACUAAAAAUUACGAGGAUUAAUAUAGGAUAUAGAUUGAUUAGAUAUAGUAGAAAAUACUGCAAAUAUAAUAUUUUGUAUAAUAUUUUGUUUGGUUGUAUGCAGCCGAAACAUGUAUUUAUAAUUUUUUUUUUUUUAUAUGGAGCAAUAAAAUUGCCCCCUAUAUAAGAAAAGAAAGAAAAACUUAAAAAUAUAUAUAUAUCUAUUUACUGGAAUUUGUUUGAUUGCAUGGAGUAGAAACAUGUAUUUAUAAAUUUUCAUUAUUAGAAAGGCAAGCUUACUAUUGUCUAAAAUUACUCUUUUCAAGUUCUGCUGUUAGAACUGCGACCAAUUUGGACGCAAUUUCAAUUGCUACAGCUGAACCUUCUUGUAUAGUUGCAACAGUUAAAUUUACAUGUAUCAAAACAAACGCUUAAUUUAUAUCUAUAUGCAGUUACAACUGCAAUGCAUUUACAUGCAACCAAACAAUUUCCUUAAAUGAUAUUAUGAACAAGUCAGAUAAUCUAGUAAUAUAGCAUAUGCCUAUUGACAGAUUAUUUCCUAUCUUCUGGAGGAAUCGUGAUUAUUUAUUAACUUUACAAAAGGACAAUUCUUGGAAGAGAAAUAUAAAAUUUGCAUGAUAGCCAUUAAUGUUAAUAUAUACAUUAGCAUAUGAUAGUCACAUCAUCCAAAAUAGAGACAGUAAUAAGUGCACACCAAGAUGAAACAUUGUACAUUCAGAGAAGAUAUUAUGUUUUCAACAGGAUAGGAAUUUCACAAGAGCAAACCAGCCACGAACAAUACAAGAAAGAGAACGGAUACACAUAUCAUCUUCCAAUCCAAAGAUUUUUUUUUUUCGUUUUUUCUUCUUUUACUUGUUUUUAAGGUAGAGGAGAAGCAUCAACGGAUGUGCCAGCGCAGUUUCUGCCUUCAGUUGAUCCCAGCUUCUAGCUUUCUACAGCAAAAGUCAAAAGAAAAGACAAAUCAGCCCAACUACAAACUGCAAAUACAAUGCCCAAAAAGGACAGAGAAAACUUAUGCAGGAGGUUAUUGGCCAAAAUCACGCAGAAAAUUAGAUAGUAUUCAAGGAAAACAUAUUAUUUUCUAUCAGUUCAUAUGGUCUCACCUGGAUACUAAUAAAGGACCAUGGUCUGGAUUCUAAAGGGCCAUGCCAUAACCAAGUGUGCAACAGCCAUACUAAAUUUCAAAAUAAGUUAAUCAAGCCAAAAAAGAUAUAACAACAGCUCUCCCGUGAAAGAAGGAAUCAAGUAUCUUCCAUGUUUGACUAUUUAAUGAUAAACUCAUAAAUAAUUAGCAACUUACAGGACAAAACUGAAACGCUGAACUACUACACAAGCCAAUAAGGACACAGAAUCUUGGAUCUUGAAUACAAAAUUUGGGCAAGUAUCAAUCAAAGACACAGGCAGAGCUACUAACCCAACACUUGGAAUUAAUUAAUAAACAGGAUCUUGAAUACAAAAUUUGGGCAAGUAUCAAUCAAAGACACAGGCAGAGCUACUAACCCAACAGUUGGAAUUAAUUAAUAAAUAGGAAAGAGAAAGCAAUAUUAUAGCUACCCCAGCUAUUUAGUAUAAUACUCCUUCAAGAUUCCAGCAAUGCUUAUGUAAUUAUUGGUACGCAAAUUGCAAAAUAAUCCUUCAUGAGGUCAAUGACCCAACAAUUCUACUAUUUACACAAAUUAACAAGAAGAAAUAGUUUGUCGUGCCCUACAUUAAUUCCGCCAAACUAUUGCUGAUACAAGUUGGCUGUUUAGUGUUGCCAUGCAAAGAUAGAAUAGCAGUGCACAACUUAAUUGUGUAUCAAACUAGAAGCAACUACAGUACCUUUUCCUUGGUAGAAAUUAGUGUUGACAAAAUAUAUAUAACUAAUUUCAGAUCAACAAAUAUAAUUCACAUGUUUUAUAGAAUAUGAAGAAUUUAACAUCGCUAUCUAACUUCUAGAAUAAAGAACCCACAAGUUUUCAUCAUGAAUUAGCAAAAAUUAGUCAAAGAGAGUACCAAGAAUUAACAAAGAUGCAUCCCAAAUGGGAAAUCCAAUAGCAAGGUAAUAAAAGUAGCCUAAAUUAUUUCUACAUGAUAAAGUACAGUCGAUACAGCUUUUGUUUUCAAUUUACAUACGCUGAAACCAUGAUUUGAUAUUCUCAGCACGAGUCCUAAAUAGUAAAAAGUUUUGGCACACAAACUAAAUAGGCAAUUCUCCUAUUUUGGUAAGAUUUUCCUAAAAUUACUAUUUUGAUAAUUGAUUACAGAUCAAGUUGGUUGCACUUCCUUCUAGUUCUCCUAACGCUGAUGUUGAUUCUGAAUUUGUCAUGCACAAUGACUAUAUAUUUUACAAGAAGAAGUUUCAAUGACGAACAACAGUGUGUAUCCAUGUUGUGCAACCAACCCUAGUCAUAAUUGUUCACCAUAGAAAGUGCACUAAUCAUAUGAUAGGAUAAGCACCUAGUACCAUUGACAUAAAUAAGAGAUUGAUUAGUUUUCAAGAAGCAAAUUUUGAAACAGAAUUGUACAACUGAAAAUAGAUGGUUGUCUCCUUCAUAGCAUGGUCAAAGGAAAAGGCUACCAUUAUUAUUGAACUAAAAUUUUUGCUCUUCGAUAGCAAGAUACUACAAGACAAAAGUUAACCUAUGGAAUAUUGAGAUAAAAUCCUAAGAGCUUGUCUGAGUGUAUGAACAUCUUGUUUAGCACACCUUAUUUAUUUGCUUAAGAAGUUCGUAGCACUUAGUAAAUCUAAUGUGGAUUAUGAUCAGAUUGUGAUCAAAUGACUAGAAACUAGAAAGGCAUACAAGUCAUUUUCUCAUUAAAAGAUAAAUCACUUUGUAGGUGAAUUACACUAUCCUAACAAAUCAUGACCGUCAAAACUUUGCAAGGGGUUAAAAUCAAACUCCUAGCUUGCAAUCACAAAAGAAAGUUCUCCUGGCGCACAAGUUAUCACUGGAUAACUAAGUUCUUACAUCCAAGCAGGCCCUGAAGGUCAAUAUUUUUUGCAUGAAAUGGCUGUUCUGGAGACUGAAAUGUUCAACCACAUACUUCAGGCCCAAGGUCUUUAGUACUUACAACACAAAACAAUAUUAUACGAUGCGGUAAAAAGAACAUUUUAAUUUCUGAUAACUGCAUCAGGCACUCUCCAGAAUGUCCCAAUUCCUGCAAAGAAACAUCAAAUAUUGAAUCUCUAAUGCACCGCAAUGCAGCAAAUUUGUUGCAAGCAUCCUAUAUGCUGCACACCUGCCCUCUGUCAGUCCAACAAAUUGUACACAUCAAUGCCCAUAGUCAUAAUAACAUUCUCUUGCUCUUUUAGCCUCUUAGAAUGGCACGGUGAUCCAUAUCUAAUCUUGUUUCUAUCAGCACAUACUCUCAGACCAAUAAUGAAGGAGUGAGCGCCUCUUCUGCCCAUCUCCUCAACAGCUUCUGUAUUCAAGAAGCAAAAGCCUUCCUUCGAAUGCUUCAAAGUUCGGCAAGAAGUAGUUUUAAGCUAUUACGAAAAAGCUCUACUUAUAUACAGUUGCUCUGGAGAGAGAUCCAGUCUGGCCAAAGAGGUAGCGAGGAUCAAACCACCUCAAGUAAGGGUAAUAAAUUAGCUUAGAUUGAGCGAAUUAACCAACUAAUUGACGCACAAGAUUGAGCAAUAACAAAAAGAGAUAAAACAGGCAAAGAUCAAGGAAAUUUCGUACGAGCAAGACAAAUUAGAUCAAAUUUCAGCAUUAAUACUGUAAGGUCAAAAAUCUCACAGGGAAUUUGUGUUCCUCCGAGGGAUCGUGCUACUACCCGGUCUCCUCCUACGCCACCGACGACACCGCGACGUCGUCCGGAUACCUGACGACGACGACAGGGCAGACGCAGUGGUGGACGCAGUAGUCGCUGACGCUGCCGAGGCGCGCCUUGCUGGCCCUCCUGGAGGCCCCGAAGCCCCUGCUGCCCAUGAUGACGGCGCCGACGCCGAGGCGCUCGACCUCGAGGCAGAGGCGCUCCUUCAUGUCGUGGUCCUUCACGAUGUGGACCCUGAAGGGGAUCCGCGCCUCCACCAGCGGCCGCGCCAGCUCCUCCACCUUCGCCGCCGUGAACGCGUCGAAGUCGUCCUCCAUCUUCUUCUGCUGCGACUCCACCGACGCCGCCGCCGCCGCCGCCGCCUCCUCCUCCUCGGAGCCCUCGGCGGCGGCGGAGAGGGAGAGGUCGGUGAAGCCCCAGUCGGCGCCGUAGAGGACGCUCGUGGGGCGGACGUGGAGCAGCACCACGGCGUCGCCGGGCCGGAGGUAGUUCUGGACGGCCCACCGCACGGCGUACGCGCUCUCGUCGCUCAGGUCCACGGCGAUCGCGAUGCGCCUCUGCGACGCAGCUGGUUGACGUCGAUGACCGACGACUCGAUCGCCGCCGCCGACGACGGCGCCGGCGGAGGAGCCGGAGCCUUCGAAUCGGAUUCCGCAGGGUUCGCCAUCAGCUAUGAGAUGGGAUUAGGUGGGUUGUCCUUGGUCCUUUUCUAUGCCGAAAUUCCUUGCACAGCGGGCGAGAGAGAGAGAAAACGGGAGGGGUUUUUAGACGUUUCCAGAAGGGGCGGAGGGUACUGGGAACAAAAACCCAGCAGCGAUCGCGUGGAAAAUUAUAAGAUAUUACGUUGGGUGAUAAUAACGUUGGAGGUAGGUGGGUAGGGGUGGCAAUCUUGCUGACUCUUCGCGAGCGAACUCAUGUCCAGCUCGAAAUAAGCUCGAGAUCGAAUCGCUCGUUUAGUAAACGAGCCGAAUAUAAGUUGAAUUUUUCAGCUCAUUUAAUAAACAAGCCAAACACGAGCAAGGGUCAGCUCGCUCGUGUUCGGCUCGAUAACAGCUCGAAUACAUAUAUUUUAUAUUCAUAUAACUUAUUUAAUUUUUAUUUAUAUAUAUAAAUAAAUAAUUAUAUAUCUACUAUAUAUUUUUAUAACUUAUUUAAUUUUUAGCAAAAUAAAAAUAUAAAGAUGAGCUCAAUUAUAAAAAAACUUAUUUAUAUGUAAAAUUUCAACUAUUAGAUCACAGUCUAAUAUAUAAGAUUUUAUAAAUUUAUUCUAUAUAUAUAUUCAAUCUUAGUCUUUUUAACUUAUUGUUCGUUGGCCGACUCGUGAGCCGGCUCGUGUUUGCCUUGUUAAUAAACGAGCCGAGCACGAGUUGAUUUUUUUGGCUCGAUACUUUAACGAGCCAGCCCGAGCUCGCUCGCGUUCGGCUCAUUUACACCCCCAAAGGAAGGUAUGAAAGGAAUAUUUUGGAUCAGUAAAAACGUUUAAUACUUAUCUAAAUUAGGGAGCAUUUUGAUUUUUACUAUUUAGUAUUUCAAUUUGUUCAAUCUCAAUUAGUGAAUAAUAUUUUGACUUUAAGAUUUCAGUAUUUUGUUUCUAUUUAUAGAUUUUAUUAACAUACUUUAUGUAAUUUUUAUAAUGAUAAAUUUAUUAAAGUAAGUAAUUAGUUUAAAUUUUGAAGUCAAAUGAUUGAUGAUUGAUUUUAAUACAAUGAAUUAAAAGACUAGAUAGUCAAAUCAAAAUAGUUCAUAAUUUAGACAAGUUCUAUACAUUUAUCUUUUGAAUUAAUUAUAUUAUUUGGCCCUUCGAUUCUCGACUAAGUAUGAAAUAGGAUAAUGAUAGUCUUCGAAUGAAAAUGUGUAAAAUAUAUAUAUCCUAAUUUGGUGGUGUACCACCAGUAUCAUUUUUUAACUUUUGCUUCGCAACUUUUAUUCUUUUAAUUAAAUGUCUAGCCAUAUAUUCCGGUAAGCUAAUAAAUAAAAUUUUUUUAAACAUUUAAAUUUAUAUUUUUUAUCAUUAAAUAAAUAUAUGCGUAACGUAAGGAUUGUAGUUUGCAAGAACUUUAUAUAUUAUUUUAUAUAAAAAUUUUAUUCGACGAAUUAAUAAAAGAACGUCAACCGUCAGUUGGGGCUUCAAUUUUUAUUUAUUUUAAUAUUUUAUUUUUUGAAACUUUUUUAAAGAAAUUGUUAAUUUGGACAAAAAUAGUUUGCUAGAUACUACCUAUGCUUUGGUAUUUACUAUUUUUAUUAUUUAUUAUUUUUUAAGUUAUACAAGAGAUAAUAAUGCCAUAUUAUGAGUGUAGAGAUAGGAGAUAAAUUUAUUAUGGGUGUGAAAAUUUAAUAGUUUUUGAUAAAACAAACACAAAAGCAAGAUAACUUUAAUUUUUACAUUAUUAAGUUUCGACCAAACAAAUAAUAAAACUGUAGAAAAUUUACUUUCAUAAUUAUAAAACCAAAUUUUGAAGAAAAUAUAAUUUUCAUAUAAACUCUUGAACAAUCGAAAGCUCACUUUAUUCUAAAUUUCACCCUCAGUAAAACAAAUAAGUCCCAUCUAAGGCUGCGUUUGGUUCGGGAAUUAAAAACUUUGGUAUAAAUUUUUUUAACCCUAGGAUAGCUUGUUAUUUCGGAAUACUUAGGAAUAAAAUGUAAAUACCGUUUGGUUGGUAAAGCUUGUAUUCUAAGAAUUACCUGAAAUUGUGUUUGGUUAAUUUGGUGAAAUAGUUGAGAAUAGUGAAAAAAGAUGAAUGUUAUAUUUUUUAUAUACCUAUUUUGCCCUUGGGUGCUCUUUCAUAUAUACUAGUGAAGGCCCGCGCUACGCUGCGGAAAAUUUAUAUAAAAAUUUAAAUUUUAAAUUUUAAAUUUAAUUUUUAUUUUUUUGUACAUGAUCCACAACUAUACAAAUAAACAAAAUUUAAAACAGGGGAGGAAAAGGGGGAAAAAAGUUAAAGAAAAGAUAAUAUCAAAAAAAGAAAAAGAAAAGAGGGGAAAAAAAGGAAUAUUUUAAAAAAAUAAAUAGUAAAUUAUAUAAUAAAUUAUUAUAUAAUAAUAAUAUAUAUAUAUAUAAAUAAAAAACUAUAUAUAAUAAAUAAAUAUAUAUUUAUAAAUAAAAUUAUAUAUAUAUAAUAAAUAAUAUAUAUUUAUAAAUAAAAAUGUUAUAUGAUAUAAUAAAUAAAUAUAUAUAUAUAUAUAUAAUUCAUAAUAAAUUAUAGUACUAUAUAUAUUUAAUAAAUAUAUAUAUUUAUAAAUAAAAUAUUAUAUAUACUAAAAUAAAUAAUAUAUAUUUAUAAAUAAAUACUAUGAUAUAUAUAUAUAUAAUAUACAUAUAUAUAAUAUAUUAUAUAUAAUAAGUAAUAUAUUAUAUAUAUAAUAUAUCUUCCCUCUCUUCUCUGCUCUCUUUCUGCUCUCUCUCUCUGUCUCUCUCCGUCUCCCGCCUCGCUUUCUUUUUUUUUCUCUCUGCUUCUCUAUUUCUCUUCUUCUUCUUCGGCGCGAGAGCGGCACUGCUCGGCGGCCCCCGCACCCCGCCCAGCGCCCAGGCGAGGGCUGUCCCGACCCCGCGUCGCCUGCCCCUCGGCUGCGGUUCCUGCUCGCGCAGGUGCACCUCGGCCCGCGGCCGGCGCCAGCGCCCCGUCUCCCGCUGUCGCCCCGCCGCGCUCCGCCUUCCGUGCUCGGCUUACCCCGCCCCCGCCUCCCGCUGCCUCGCCGCGCCCGCUGCGGGAGAGGGGUGAGAAAGAGAAGAGCAGGGCAGGAAGAAAAGAUGGGAGGGCGUGUGGGAAGAUGGGAGAGGCGUUCUGGGGAGGAGAUGUAUAAAGGGAUGGGCGGGGAGACGGAGCACACAACACACUUCUCUCUGCUUCGAUCGGCACGGGGCUCGGCUCCACACUCCGCACCCCCACUGCGGCCCGCGCCCCGCCGACACCGCUGGGCGCGGGACCGCGGCGACGUGGGGAAGAAAGAGCCGCCGGGGCGUGGUAGAGGUGGAGCUGAGGGUGGGGAAAACGGAUGAGGGGCAGAGAGUGUGAGGGGUGUGAUUGGUGCGGAGAGGGGAGGAAGAGGUGAGGGAGAGAGAUAACCGGUGGUGGGCGGGGUCUUUGCAUGUGCGUGCGGUAGCGGCGUCGGUGCGGACCUAGCGCCCGCCGCGCCGUGAGAGAGGCGAGAGGAGUUUUGUCUGCUCUCUCUGUCUCUCUCUCUCCUGCAUCACUCUGCUCUGUGCUCUGUCCCCCCGGUGCCUAUCUCUACAUGCGGGCGUGAGCUGGCACGGGGCCCGGGGGGUUGGAAUCGCGCUGCACGGCCCCCGCUUCGUCUCUUCCUUUUCUCCCUGCUCUUGACCUUCUUCCUUGCGUCUGUUUUUCCGUCUCUCUUCUACUGACUCUCUCUCUCUCUCCUCUGUUCUCUGUUCUCCCCGGCUUACUCUGCUAUGCUCUCUCUCAUCCUCCUCUGUUCUCUUCGUCUCCCUCUCUCUUUCUCUCGCGCGACGGGCCACCAAACACGGUAGGACGAAUGGGGUGGUCGCCGUCAAACUCAUCGUUCCUUAUAUAUAUAUAUAUAUAUAUAUAUAGAUGGUUAAUAAUACACAUACAAGUACAUGUUGGUUUAGAAUAAUAGAUAAUUUGAUAAAUUUUUUUAUUUAUUUGGUUAUAAUGUUAAGUAAAUUAAUAUGUUUUUUAAAAUAAAUUCUAGUUGUUACAAAAUCUCAACAAUACAAAACAAAAUUAGAUUUAUGGCCAAUCGAUUUCUUUUCAAUUGUAGCAAAGUUGUAACAGAAGAAAUUUUUUAAUUAUGUCAUUCGACAUUAUAACAAAGCAUAAUUCCCAUUUACAAUAUUGUAACACAAUAAGUUUGCAAAACGAAAGCAGAGAACCAAUGUUAAAAUACAACUCCAAUCAACAAACACACCAAUUAGCUAAAACAAAGUUUAUAUAUUAAAAUAAAUCGGAGCAUUUUACGGCUAAAAGUAAUCAGUGCGAACAUAACAUAACUUCCAAUUACAAAGAUAUGAAAAACAGCAUGCAAUAAAUUCAGUUUAAAGACACAGCAUAUAAGUUGAUACAGCAAAGAGAAAGCAUGAAGUAAAAAACAAAUUUACAUCAUUCUCAAUAUUUCCUCCUAUCUAUUGUUCCAAAGUUGCCCUGUUAUCAUAGUGCGAAGGGCGUCUCCUCUCCGAGCCCCUACUACAGGUUGAUCGAGUUAGGAGUGAAACUGGGAGAUCCAGUUUCAACUGUAGUGUUGAGGUUCAAAGGUAUAAAAUGUCCGUGGUUCCCUGGCUAUUCAUGAAGUUAUACGUUUACCUGAGUAACGGCUACCUGCUGUGUGAACUACUUAGUAGUUGAGGAUAACCCGAUCUGCUCAGAGNAAAUAUAUAUUUAUAAAUAAAAUUAUAUAUAUAUAUAUAUAUAUAUAUCUUCCCCUCUCUCCCUCUGCUCUCUUUCUCUCUCUCUCUCUCUCUCUCUCUCUCUCUCCCGCCUCGCUCUCUCUCUCUCUGUUUCUCUCUUUCUCUCUUUCUCCUGUUCGCUGCGAAGCGGCCACGCUCGCGGCCCCCGCACCCCGCCCCGCGCCCACGCGAGGCGCCCGCGCCCCGCGUCGCCGCCCCUCGGCUCGUUCCUGCUCGCGCAGGUGCCCACCCUCGCCCCGCGCCGCGCCCGCGCCUCCGUCUCCCGCUGUCGCCCGCCCGCGCCUCCGCCUCCCGCUGCCUACCGCCGGCGCCCCCGCCUCCCGCUGCCUCCCGCCCGCGCUGGGGAGAGGGGGAGAGAGAGAGAGAGAGCGGGGAGGAAGGAAAAGAUGGGGAGAGGGGUGGGAGAGUGGGAGAGAGUCUGGGGGGAGGGAGAGGUAUAAAAGGGGAGUGGGGGGGGGGAGAGAGACACACACACACACUGUCUCUCUCUCUCUCAUGCGCGCACGGGGGGUGCGGGUCGCCCGCACCUCCCCACUGCGGCCCGCGCCCCGCCCGCACCCGCUGGGCGCGGGUCGCGCGCACGUGGGGGAGAGAAAGAGCCGCGGUAGGGGGGAGGAGGUGGGGAAAGAGAGAGGGGGAGAGGGAGGGGUGCUGGGGGCGGAGAGAGGGAGAGAGAGUGAGAGAGAGAACCGGGGGGUGGGGCUUGCCAUGUGCGGGCGGCCCGCACCCCCCGCGCACGCUGAGAGAGGGAGAGAUGCUUUGUCUGCUCUCUCUCUCUCUCUCUCUCCCUGCUCACUCUCUCUCUCUCUCCCCCUCUCUCUCUCGCGCGUGCUGCGGGCGCGGGUCGCCUGCACGCAGGCCCCCCCUCUCUCUCUCUUUCUCUCCCUUUCUCUCUACCUCUCUUCCUGGCUCCCUCUCUCUCUCUCUCCUUCUACUCUGCUCUCUCUCUCUCUCCCUCUGUUCUCUCUCUCUGUAUGCUCUCUCUCUCUUCUCCCUCUGUUCUCUCUCUCUCCCCCUCUCUCUGUAUGCUCUCUCUCCCUCCUCCCUCUGUUCUCUCUCUCUCCCUCUCUCUUUCUCUCGCGCGAGGCCCCACAAAACACGGGGAGCUCGCCGUACAAACUCUCGAUUCCAUAUAUAUAUAUAUAUAUAUAUAUUUAAUUUAAAUAUAUUAUUGUGUAAUAUUUUAUAUUUUAUAUAUAUAUUAUUUAUAAAUACAUAAUAAUUUAUUUUAUAGUANNNNNNNNNNNNNNNNNNNNNNNNNNNNNNNNNNNNNNNNNNNNNNNNNNNNNNNNNNNNNNNNNNNNNNNNNNNNNNNNNNNNNNNNNNNNNNNNNNNNNNNNNNNNNNNNNNNNNNNNNNNNNNNNNNNNNNNNNNNNNNNNNNNNNNNNNNNNNNNNNNNNNNNNNNNNNNNNNNNNNNNNNNNNNNNNNNNNNNNNNNNNNNNNNNNNNNNNNNNNNNNNNNNNNNNNNNNNNNNNNNNNNNNNNNNNNNNNNNNNNNNNNNNNNNNNNNNNNNNNNNNNNNNNNNNNNNNNNNNNNNNNNNNNNNNNNNNNNNNNNNNNNNNNNNNNNNNNNNNNNNNNNNNNNNNNNNNNNNNNNNNNNNNNNNNNNNNNNNNNNNNNNNNNNNNNNNNNNNNNNNNNNNNNNNNNNNNNNNNNNNNNNNNNNNNNNNNNNNNNNNNNNNNNNNNNNNNNNNNNNNNNNNNNNNNNNNNNNNNNNNNNNNNNNNNNNNNNNNNNNNNNNNNNNNNNNNNNNNNNNNNNNNNNNNNNNNNNNNNNNNNNNNNNNNNNNNNNNNNNNNNNNNNNNNNNNNNNNNNNNNNNNNNNNNNNNNNNNNNNNNNNNNNNNNNNNNNNNNNNNNNNNNNNNNNNNNNNNNNNNNNNNNNNNNNNNNNNNNNNNNNNNNNNNNNNNNNNNNNNNNNNNNNNNNNNNNNNNNNNNNNNNNNNNNNNNNNNNNNNNNNNNNNNNNNNNNNNNNNNNNNNNNNNNNNNNNNNNNNNNNNNNNNNNNNNNNNNNNNNNNNNNNNNNNNNNNNNNNNNNNNNNNNNNNNNNNNNNNNNNNNNNNNNNNNNNNNNNNNNNNNNNNNNNNNNNNNNNNNNNNNNNNNNNNNNNNNNNNNNNNNNNNNNNNNNNNNNNNNNNNNNNNNNNNNNNNNNNNNNNNNNNNNNNNNNNNNNNNNNNNNNNNNNNNNNNNNNNNNNNNNNNNNNNNNNNNNNNNNNNNNNNNNNNNNNNNNNNNNNNNNNNNNNNNNNNNNNNNNNNNNNNNNNNNNNNNNNNNNNNNNNNNNNNNNNNNNNNNNNNNNNNNNNNNNNNNNNNNNNNNNNNNNNNNNNNNNNNNNNNNNNNNNNNNNNNNNNNNNNNNNNNNNNNNNNNNNNNNNNNNNNNNNNNNNNNNNNNNNNNNNNNNNNNNNNNNNNNNNNNNNNNNNNNNNNNNNNNNNNNNNNNNNNNNNNNNNNNNNNNNNNNNNNNNNNNNNNNNNNNNNNNNNNNNNNNNNNNNNNNNNNNNNNNNNNNNNNNNNNNNNNNNNNNNNNNNNNNNNNNNNNNNNNNNNNNNNNNNNNNNNNNNNNNNNNNNNNNNNNNNNNNNNNNNNNNNNNNNNNNNNNNNNNNNNNNNNNNNNNNNNNNNNNCGGUACAAAAUGUGUACCGGUACAGCCAUCGACCUGUCACCGGUUACACCUCGUGCAGAAUGCAAUCCGAGGGUAGGCUAAGUCCAACUCUUUAGUGACUUUAGCGCUACAUAAAAUACUACAAUUCUCGGGAUUCGAACCAUAGGUCGGAACACUGUCAACGACCCACCAGAAAAUCUGGAAAAGCUCAGGACACAGUCCAAACACUCGAACCUCGCAAUUUGCAGAGAUCCAGUGUGUUACAUUUGGUAUGAGGUCCCUGGGCUAAUAAAGAGUUGAAUUACUCUAUUGAAUUGUGAAAUUGCAUUGAAAUAGUGUUUUUGAGAAAACUGACUUCGAUAAUGCACUUUUGCAGGAUAGAAGUCCGAAUGUGAAAUUGACAGCUUACAAACCAAAUUGGGGGUAAAAGAAACUCGCUGGCGAAGUAGGCUCGGCAAUCCAUCGCUCCUACGCAAUGAUAUCGCCAAAAGAAGAUUUUCGGCGUCAAUAGUCACGAGCGCGGGUCGCGGUUCUCGGGAAAGCGCUAGAGACGCAUUUCUCUCAUUCCAGAAUCAAAUAAAGGUGGGUUGUGCUUACCGAAGUGAUUAGGUCACUUCCAUGCCAAAGUAAAAUAUGGUUUCAUUUGACGCAUAAAUGAAUAUGAAUGCUAAAUACACAUGAGUUGGCAUGUAUGAAUAUGGGCAUAUGUUAAUGCUAGAUGACUUAUAAUGAUUCUCAUAUAAAUAUGAAUGCUAGGUGCACAUGGACAUGAAAGCUAGACAUAGUUAUGCUAGACGGAUAGUUAUGAAUGUGAAUACAUAUAAUUGUCGAUAUAUGAAUGUGAAAACUAGACGCAUAGUAUGCUAAAUUCAUAUAAUCAAAUAUAUGAUAUAUAAAUGUUGAACUUGUAAACGCCAAGGGCAUGUAAGUUGAAUGUGAAAUGUGAAAUGUGAAAUGUGACAUGUGAACAUAGAGGUUAAAGCAUAUGUAGUUAUCGACAUGUGAAAGCGAAUAGUUGAUGCCUAUAUCUAAACGUAUAUGAAAGUGAAUGUACUAUAGUUCGAGCUAUAUGAAAGUCGAUAAUUCCAGUUGAUUAGAGACCUCGAUAGUAACAAGACAAGCGAGAAUAUGUAAAUUAGAAUCCUAGGAAUGAACAACUAGGAUGAUACAUAGAUCGAGUGGUAUGACCUAGUGGUAGUAAACAUAGGUCGGACAUGAACCUAGUGUCAUUGGACAUAGGUCAAGUAAAUAAACCUAGAGUCGAGUUCUAGGUGAAAAUGAUAUAGAACCUAGCAAGUGAACCUAGGUUAUGAUGUAUAAUGAGACUUAGUACAUUUAAACUAAGUUGUGGAUUUUAGUGGUAUAGUGACCACUAGGAAAGGAUUAGUUUCGACCAGGAGGGUCGUCAACAUAGGGUAAAGUGAGUAAACCCUCAAGUUGUGAAAGUGAAUUCCGGAAUCCCAAGAUCUGUGAUGACCUUGGUAUCAAGGCUAGGGCGUGUGCGACGAUUUCGCCGCCGGAUGGUUAGCCAGUUUGUGGAUCCUACCGCCUGUUGACUGAACCACUGUCGUGGCGUGUGCGACGAUUUCGCCGCCGGGUGGCUAAGUCAUAGACCUAGGCUGUUGUUGGGUGAGGUGCGAUUUGUUCGCCGCCAGACAGCUAGGACAGGAGUACGGUGAGCUGUUGCCAGCUGAGGUGCAUGUGAGAGUUCCUUCACCUCGAGCUAGACAUUGCGCAGACUAUCCGCGAUUGAUUGACUCAAGACCGAGUCUGUUGGCAUAGAGAACUAAGGUAAAGGAAACCUUAGGAAAAAAUCACCAGUGAGCAUAGUAUGAUAAAGAGUAAAAAAAAUACAGAAAAUAACUAAUGAACGAGAAUAGCUAAUAAAGAAAAGAACGGCCACAAGUAAGGAAUGGUUAAUGCUUUAAGUAGAAUCAAGUAAUCUACUUACAUGAUUUACAGGUGUUGCAUAUUGCAUAGCAGCGAGGCAAGGUAUGGUAUUAUGUGUUGCAUAGUUUAAUAUCUAUCUAUUUGUUGAACCAACCUACUGUUGCCUCCUUUGGACCUGGUGGGUCGAGCUCUUCCCUUGGGUGGCCGUACCCACUGGGAACUAUAUUUAUAUAGUUCUCACCCCCGUGUUGUUUUUGGGGGUAUAAGUUCGCACGUGAGCGGCGCGGCGGCGCGAGGACAGAGCGUAGCUCCGUAGAUAGCGCCCUACCACCGAGACCAGAGAUAGAAGUACCCUGACGAAGUCAAGUUCAGAGUUCAAUUUGAAAGAAGCAAACUUGUAGCAAAAUUGUAUAAGUUUUGUAAUAACUUAAAGGUAUUUGUGGUUAUGUAAAUAUAAAAUCUUGUAAAUGUAAAAGAAUCUCUGAGAUGAAUGCUUGUAAUAGCAUAGUUAGCAUCUUAUGUUUUUGAUACUUAUGCAGUCUACAUACUUGCUACGGUUCCUGUUUGGAACCCCUUGUAUUGCAUUGUUUAGAUUGUUGACGCCUAGAACGGACAGGGGAGGCUCUGUCCGUUCGGCGGUCUGUCGGCGUGNCUUGUAAUAGCAUAGUUAGCAUUUUAUGUUUUUGAUACUUAUGCAAUCUACAUACUUGCUAUAGUUCCUGCAUGGAACCUCUUGUAUUGCAUUGUUUAGAUUGUUGACGCCUAGAACGUACAGGGGAGGCUCUGUCCGUUCGGCGGUCUGUCGGCGUGCCCGAAUCCGACCAAAUAGGCGGAGCUCGGGGCGUGACAUAAGGAUUGCAUUUCAAGUGUUCUAAAAUUCACAUAAAUCAUGUUUAACAUGGAUUUGCUUUUAAAAAGACUUUACGAAGAGUUUAGAAACCAUAGGGGCCAUUUUGCCCCGUUUUCAUGAAGUCAAACCCACCACAACACUCACGAUCCUUCGUAAGCUCCGACGAAGGUGUCAACUAGUCUCCUAACACCCUAAAGAUGUAGGAACAAAGGUCAAACGGACCAUACGAACAAUACAAGGCUCAAUCAAAAGCAACCUAGGCUAAGGUGGAGGAAACUCACCUUAAGGGAAGAAAUCCUCACUCAAACUCUAAAUGGGGGCAAGAACCCUUCCAAUUCAACCUAAAGGAAGGUUCUAAACCAAUCAAUAAGGUCCCAAAGCCCUCAAAUCAAAAAGCCCCAAAACUAACCCUAGAAUUCCAAUCUAGGGUUCCAUAUAGUAAAAUCUAGAAAAACUUGUAUUAAAUGGGGAAUACAAGCUACCAACCUCAAGAGAAGCUUCAAUCCAAGCUCUAAACCAAGUAGGGUUGAAGUUUGAUCCUCCACAAAGCUCCAACCGCAAGCUCCAAGCCCCCAAGGUGAGAAAUGAGGAAGAAGAUGAUGCUCCAAGGCCUCCAAGUGAGCUCCUCUCCUUUUCCUCCAACUCCUUCUUCUUCUCCUUCUCUUUCUCUCUCUAGAAUCGGUGUGAAGGGGAGAAAUGAGGAGGGAAGAGAGUGAAAGGGCCAUAUAGACCAUCUAGUGCAACAAAAUCCCGAAAAGCCCCUCAAAAACUCAAAUUCACAUCAGCUCGGUCUGGGCAGUUUUUGCCCAGAGGGACCGGUCUCCCUGACUUGGGACCGGUCUCUCAGCCUGCCCCGAAAAUCCAACGUUCGGGAACCGGUCUCUCCCCGCACGGGACCGGUCUCUCCCCCUGCAGAUGCACUCGGGGACCGCUCUCGCCUGCCAGGGACCGGUUGCCUCGGCAACUGCCGCAACACUGAGCUGAGGGGACCGGUCUCUCAUAUCAGGGACCGGUCCCCGAGAGUGAAAACUCUCAGGACUAAGCCAAAACUCUAGAGAUCGAACUUUUAGGCCGGAAUACCAUCUACGGCCUUCCACCAAGUAUGGAAAAGUUCGGAGUACACAUCAAACACUCGAACCUCGCAAUUUGGAAAGGUCCAGUGUGCUACAGGCACUUUAUGGGCGUAGGUGGCGCUCUCCUAUUCAUUGGAGCGAGGUAGGUGAAAGAGUCACCCUUGGUCCGGAUGUGGUGCGAGAGGCGGAAGAGAAAGUCCGUCUUGCUCGCCAACGAUUAUUGACGGCACAAUCACAGCAACGAAGCUAUGCGAAUAAGCGCCAAAAGGAUUUGGAGUUCGCGGUUGGCGACUGUGUGUUUCUUAAAGUGUCGCCAAUGCACGGGGUGAAGCGGUUUGGCAUUCGGGGGAAGUUUAGUCCCCGGUAUAUUGGCCCGUAUGAGAUUCUAAAAUGGAUCGGGCCGGUGGCAUACAAGUUAGCAUUACCGCCGAAGCUUGCUGGAGUGCACAACGUGUUCCACAUAUCGAAUCUCUGCAAGUAUUUUCGUAACUCCUCACAUGUGUUGGAGUAUGAGUCGGUGGAGUUGCAUGAGGAUGCCAGUUACGAAGAAUUUUCGGUGAGCAUUCUUGCUCGAGAGGAGCGGAAACUACGGAAUCGGACCAUUCCGUUUGUCAAAGAGUAAUGGAGUAAUCACUCGAUGCGUGAAUCCACGUGGGAGCUCGAGGAAAAGAUGCGCAAGGUGUAUCCUCACUUGUUCGAGCAAAUGAGCUAAGGUACGUGUUGAGUUUCGCGGCCGAAACUAUUUUUAAGGGGUGGGAAAUGUAACGUAUCACUUCCCGGUAAAUCGUGCCGAGUUUCGUCGAAACGAACAGAACGCGGAGUGGAACAAGUUAUAAUGGGUUCUAAGUGCUUUAGAACCUAUGUAUAUGGUAUAGGGACCUGAGAGAGUAAAAUUGGAAAAUCUGGCCAAGUCUCAGAUUUUGGACUCUCGGGGACCGGUCCCUGCGAGGAGAGACCGGUCCCCGUAGGUUGGAAAAUUGCCCAACGGCUAAGUUCUAAAAAUCGUGCUCUCAGGAACCGGUCCCUAGAGGAGAGACCGGUCCCUGGAGGAGAGACCGGUCCCCGUGCUCGUAGUCAGCCAAAAAGAGUGAAAAUUUGGCUAAGUCCUGAGAGGUGUGCUCUCGGGGACCGGUCCCUGCGGGGAGAGACUGGUCCCCGUAUGCGAAAAAUGCCCAGUGAGGGCUAAUUGUAAGAAAUGCAAUUGAGAGGGGCUUAUGUGCUAAUGUGACUUGAUGAAGGGUUAUAUGUGUUAGGGCUUGUGUGAGAGCUCAUUUGCUCUCAACCCUACACCAAAACACUCAUCUCUCUCUCUCAAAAAAGUCUCUUUCUCUCUUCCCUUCUAUCUAGAGCUUGGAUCAAGGGAGGAGUUUGGAGGAGCAAGCUUGGAGAGAAAGCUUUCCAAGGUGAAGGCAAGCUUGAGCAAGAGCUUUGAAGGGAAAGCUUGGGACUCAAAGGUGAGUUUCCAUGAUUUGAGUUAAGGUUUUGGGUUGUAGCUUCUAGUUGAAGCAUCUAGGAGCUUCUAUGGUGGAUUCCUCCAUGAUUAUGCAAGGUAGGGGCUUGUUUGGGGAAGAUGAUAAUGUACAAGAACCUAAAGUUAGGGUUUUGAGAUUUUGAGGUUCAAUCUUGGGAUUGAUCUUUUCUUAACCUAAUUGGUAGGUCAACAAACGCGUUGGUGUGCUCGGUUCGGCGAUACGACGAGCGUGCGCAAAGAAAUUGAAGAAACGGGCUAAAUUGGUACAGAUCGUCGCAGCUUACAGCGUAGAGGUCUAAAAAUCACGAAAAAUUGGAUUACGAAAUCUUAGCAUCACCAAAAGGUGGGGGGUGCUAUCCGGAAACACCGAAUUUCUCUCUAUGUCUAUGUUACCUUCUUUGAGCAUAUUGGCGUUAGCAUUCAUGCAUAUAGGGUAGUGUGAUAUGUGUUCUUGGUUGAAUUGCAUUUAGAUGGUUAAAGAAUAUGUGAAAUGAUAAAGAACCAUGUGAACUAUGUAUGAAAGAACCCUAUGUGUAUGUGAAUGCGAGAACAGACUAUGACAAUAGUAAAUAAAGGUGACAUUGACAUUAGUGACCAGAUUGGCAUCGAAAAUGAGAACGGCUAAACAAGGUUUAACCAUUGUGGCAUUAGGACCAUUGUGAUUCAGAUGUAGUGGUAUAUGUGAUAUGGUAAUAACCUAUCAUGGGUAUUGAGGCUUUGUGCAUUGAGACAGGUUUGGCUACGUCCUCAAAUUGAGGAUUGGAUCGUACUCACACAUUGGUUCCGGCUUGAGAGAGGUAGCUCCUUCUCAAGCGGUGUGCUCCGGAGUGUAGACACCACGGGGAGAUUACCCCGGCGAAGAUCCCUCGGGUGGUUGAGCCUUGUGCCUCCCCCGGUAGACGGGAUGUGUGGAUUAUGAGUUUGGGAUGAACCAGGAGUACUCCGGGAUGAUUGGAUAAAGGCCAAAGAGAAUGAGACAUGAAAAUGCAUGCAUAAUUAUCAUGUAUUGGAUUAUCUAUCUAUCUGCUGACAGCUUCUUGCAGGCAUUAUAUUAGUAGUACAUUAGUUGGUUUGUUAUCUACUUUCUUGAAAUACAUAUGCCUAAAUAGACCUAGUGGGCGAGUCGGUGCGGUCGGCGGCCGAACCCACUGGGAACUUCGUUUUAGUUCUCACACCACCACUAACCUUGCAGAUCCGUGCGCGAGCGGGGCGGCGGAGGAUCGAGGCAAGGGUAUCGCGCCGUAGAUAGUGGCGGCGGAGGAUCGAGGCAAGGGUAUCGCGUCGUCGCCACGCGUAGCCGCCGCCACUUUGACAGCCUACGGCCAAGCUGGCCAAGCAUGGGCCGUGGCCAUCAUUGCUUCUGGCCUGCGUGUUGUCGCCGCCUGAAAGCGGCCAUACCGCCCUCCCCCGAGUUCGGGCAACCGCCCUUGCCAGCCGCCGCUGACCCUGCGCGCCGCCGCCGCCGCCCUAGCAGCCUGCGGCCAGCCUGGGCAACUCUGGGCUGAGGAGAAUUUAGUUCUUUCCCCUCACACCACCGCAGCUCGGGGCCGACACUGUCGCCUCUCUCUGGUCUCCGACGGCCCGUCGCCGCCACCCCGAGGCUUCCCCGACAGCUACUUUCCCGUUUUGCACCGCCGCGGCCAUUCAUGUGCUCGUGCGGGCUGGCACGGCCGGGCACAGGUGAACCGCGUCUCCAGACCCCGGCCACCAUCCCCGAUCCCUCCUCUGGGUCUCAGAGGAGGCCCACGCUUUUUCCCUCGUUGCUCCGGCCGCCGCCGUGGCCGGAGGGACUUGCCAAGCCCAAGUUAAGGCAGUGCGGGCUCGGGUUGCUCCAGCGCCACCGCCGCCGGACAGCGUGAGCGCCGGCUCCGCCUGGCCAGCCACACCUGUCCGCCGCUGGCGCUGGAGCUUCCUUCUAGCCGGACCGAGCCCAUGCACUCCUCGGGUUUGCACAGCUAGGGCAUCAUUGCCCAUCGCAGCGGCCGCCUCCCGUUGCCGGCCGACGCGUGCCCCGGCCUUCCUCCGUCGCCAGAAACCUCCCCCUGCCGGCGCGCCCGCCGUCCAGCCGCUGCCGGAAAAGCCGUGCUCCGCCUUGCUCUAGUGAGUGUAUUUAGUGGUUUCUGCGCAUGGUUUCCUGUUUAGAUCACUGUUCUGGCGACCCAGGGCUGUUCCAAUGCCUCCGGAGGUGAGCACGGUGGUCGUAAGUCAGUGCUGAUCACAGUGCUUACCUUAUUUGGGGUCAACGAGUGUCGAAUGUGAUAGUUUGAGGCGUUUUAGUUUCAGCCCACAGUUUUAGCUGAACUUCGUGUCAUUCCUGCGCUCUCCACAUGGACCGGCAGUGCUCUGAAAUGUGAGCACGACCUCCAGCACACCGAGACCUGUCAGCGGGUGUCUAGGCCAGACUGGAAGAUCCUCGGUUGGCGUUAUCGGGCCGUAAAAUCAAGAAAAUCGCAUAAAAUGAUGCGAUUUUGUGUAGUCCUAGGGGCUUGUAUGCAAUUGUACAGAUCGUGGUUGCUGUGGGUAGUGUGUGUGGGCAGCGGGUGACCUCUGGACUGAUUUUCCGAGGCCCCAAGCCCUUGCGGAAAUCAAAAAUUGAUUUUCGGUGCGUUUUUUGGAGAAAUCCGCUGACGGAACGCGAUUUCGGUUUGGAAUUCUUCCGACGGUGCCUCAUGAGCAAUUGGUUUAUCGCUGAGCCCUGUUGGCUGGUCACUCGCAUCGUUUCGGGGGUUCAGAAACGACGGGUGAGCAAUGGUGGGUUCCGGUGUGGAAUUGGACACUUUCGAAAAUCCGGAUCGGAACGAUUAUCCGAUGACACAUCGUUUUGGAGUGAGUUUGUAUCCUCGCUGCCAAGUGACAUGAAAAUAUGUAUUUAGUGGCAGCGGGCGACUCAUGGUAGGAGUCGGUGCAUUCGGGACAGUUCAUGGGUCCCAGCGGAGUCCCGGUGCGAUUUUCGGGACUCCCGCCAAGUUACGGUAGUAGGUUUUGGGAAACCGAUCUCCGUGGUAUUGUUUGUGGGGUUGUGGUUUCAGUGGUUGUUAGUUGUGGGUUAGAUACUAACCCGGUGGACCUCCGUAGGUCCGGUUGACAUUCUUUCGCAGUCAGGAGACAGACGCGACUUUCUUACAGGUGGGUAUUUCGAUUCGAAGUCGGUAUAGUGGUGCACGCUCGGUAAUAUCUUCUUACUCUUGUUCUCUCAUUGUUAUCUUACAUGUAAUGCAUCUGAUAUAUGUAUAUAUAUAUAUAUUGAGCUUUGCACCCAUGUUGUUCCCGUAUUUACUCUACUUGGUUGUUUCCAUGUUUAGUAUCAUGAGUAGGAGUAGAGUAGAUGUUAUCUGCAUGUGAUAUCUAUGACCUGGUUGGUCGGUCCUCAUAUUUGGUAUCUGUGACCUGGUUGAUCGGUUCUCCUAUUUGGUAUCUGUGACCUGGUUGGUCAGUUCUCCUAUUGUAAGGAAGUGAAUUCUCGAAAUCUGAGAGUUGGACUUCGUCCAGGAUCGACUAAUUGUCGAGUGGGUAGGCUUCGGAUGAGCUAAAGAUGCCCAAAACACAAAAAAUGCUUUGGAGUUGAGUCCGCGAGAGCAAAUGAUGCAAAAUCUGCACUUGGCAAAUUCUGCUCUCGGGGACCGGUCCCUGGCGGCGGGGACUGGUUCCCGUAAGCAGGAAUUCUGGCAGAGGGGAGGUCUGCGCAAAACUGCUCUCGGGGACCGGUCCCUAGUGGGAGGGACCGGUCCCAUAGCUGAGGGUUGCGGCAGGUGCCUGUUAAGGAUUUUUCUAAGUUGGCGGAUUUCGUGAAGUCGAAUGGAGUCUUGAAGAGUUGAAGAUGAAGAAUUGAAGCUAAGAUUACAAGACUUGUGAGGCAAAGACUCGUUCGUGAUGCUCGACUACUCAGGUAUGUAGACUAAUAGUUUGUGGUGAAAUUAUACUUGAGUAAAAGUGUUUAGAAGACUUAGGAUUGGUUUUUAAAUAUAAAACUGAAAAAAUUCUGAGUUUUUCAAGGUUCAGGAUUCAGACCCUAAGGAUGAUCCGGACCCCGUAGGUCCUCUCUACGUGUACGCAGCAAGGGUCCGGACCCUCUGGUUAGGAUCCGGAUCCCGUAGCAGGAUAAUCUUGUCACGCAGCAAGGGUCCGGACCCUCUGGUUACGAUCCGGACCCCAUACCAUGAUAAUCUUGUUACGCUGCAAAGGUCCGGACUCAUGGGUUAGGAUCCGGACCCCGUACCCUAUAUUUUUUGAUACGCAGAGAGGGUCCGGACCCUAGCUUCACAAUCCAGACCGUCAAGGUCUGGACCCUGUGUCACGCCCCGUGCCCGCCUCUUUGGUCGGAUUCGGGCACGCCAACAGACCGCCGAACGGACAGGGUUUCCCCUGCACGCGGACAGAGUCUCCCCUGUACGUUCAAGGCGUCGCAAUCAAUACAAGUACAAGAGGUUCCAAACAGGAACAAUUUUCAACAACGAUUGCAUAAGGAAGGUAUCAAACAACAUAACACAUCCUAUGUUAUUACAAUCAUUCAUCUCAUCAUUUUACAUCGCAUUUUUCAUUACAUUGAUCCUAAACUUCCAAAUAUACAAUCGAUUUCUAAACAUAAUAUUACAACUUGAUUCUUUUUUUUUCUUUUCUUUUUCCUCUACCCUAGGCUAUGCGACUCGGGGUACCCCUAUCUGGUCUCGGUGGUAGGGCGCUAACUUCGGAGCUACGCCCUUUCCUCGCGCCGCCGCGUCGCUGGCGUGUGAACCUGUACCCCAAAACAAACAACACGGGGGUGAGACUAUUGUCCAUAGUGCUCAGUGGGUACACACCACCAAGGGAAAAGCUCAACCCACCAGGUCAAAUGAGGCCAUGCAACAUGUUAGUCCAACAGAUACAGGUACAUAUAACAUCAUGCGAUACAUGUUCAUGCCUCACAAAUAUGCAAAUUAUGCAAUCUUAGUCAUUCUUUAUCAUUAGCCUUUCUUUAGAAUUUGCUAUUCUUUAUCAUUAACCUUCUUUGGAAUUUACUAUUCUUUAUCAUUAGCCUUCUUUACUCUUUAUUCUUUAUUUUUAUUCUUUAUUCUUUCUCAAUUGUCAUUUCUUUCCUAAGGUCACUUUACCUUACAACUAUGCACUCGACUCGGUCUUGAGUCAAUUCAUAAUAAAUACAAGAUCCACUUUCCAAUCCAUGAUCCUUUAAUCUCACAGCUAACCGUAGGUUUCGCCACAUUAAACUUGCUCCACAUUAAGUCCAUCCUCGUAGGAACUCACCGCUAGGACCGUCCUGGGUUUACUCCAACCGUGAUGCAAAACUCGGGAGCGCAUCGCUCGAGAGGGAGCGACCGCCUCGAGCACGGAACUCAUAGCAAUAUGAUCAAUCCUUAACUCUAAGGAUAUGUAGUUGAAUUAUGGCUUUACACUAACUUUAGUGUUCUUUACAUACAUUAGUUGCUAACUCUAGCAAUCUAUUGUUCUUUACCCCAUUGUCAAUUACUCUAGUAAUUGUCAUUCUUGAUACAACUUGUUCUUUUGUUGCACACACUAACUCUAGUGUGCUUCAUGUCACAUUGGUUGCUAACUCUAGCCAUUAUCAUUGUUCUUUACACUUGCUUGUCUUUGCACAUUCACUUUACAUCGCCUCUAGCCAUUAUCAUUAUUCUUUACAUCACAUUGCUUUGCCUUGUCUCAAGCCAUUAUCAUUAGGUUCUCACAUUACAUCUCAUGCAUACACAUAGAUUAUUUAGAUUCUUAAUCAUUCUAAUAAGCACGUGUACUCACAUCAUGCAACAUUACAUUAUUAUCAUCACAUUAUUUUACAUUAUCUUUAGCCAUUAUCAUUAUUCUUUACAUCACAUUUAUUCUUUGUUGUCCCACACUAACUCUAGUGUCCACUUUACCAUUUCGAAUGCCACUCGAUCUAUGUUCAACAUGCAUAUAUUUUGUCAUCCCACUACAACAAGUAUAUGAUUUACUGACAUAUUACUUGUGACAUAUAUAUAAAUGACACUAAAAAUUAUUUUUAGCAACAAAAUUUUAUAAAUAUUACUAAUUCUAUUUUUUUAGCAACAUUUAGACUAUAAUAAUGCUAAAUGUAAGAAUCAACAACUUUUAUUUUAAAAUAUUGCAAUGAUUUAGCAACAUAUCAUAAUAAAUGUUACUAUUAAUAUAUUUUUUUAAUUAAAAUUUUCAAAAAUAAUAAUUAAGCUCCCUCAUGUACACAUUUCCCGCGGCCUUUUUUUACUUCUCACAUAAGCAACCUGAAAACUCUCUCACCUCCUCAACCUUUCCACCUUCUCCAUCAUUACAUUGCUUUAAUUAGCACCAACUCAACACAUCACCUUAAUUCCUUUCCUUGCUAUUCCCGUCCGAUGUUGGCAUCUUGCCAUUUCCGACCUCGUCGCCGGCUUCCACCUCGCUAAUCUUGCUAUGGCCCGGCGUGGCUUCUAACCACAUCAUUGCCGUCAACCUCGCUACGGGCCCACUUGCCGCCGGCGUCGCUUCUAACCACAUAAUAGCCAUCGACUUUGCCGUGCCCCCACUUGCCGUCGGUGUCACUUUUAACCACAUCAUCGUCGUCGACCUUGCCGUGCCCCCACUUGCCGUCGGCAUCGUUUCUAACCACAUCAUCACCGUCUACCUCUCCAACCACUCCGACACUGUACCUUGGAAUAUCUAUGACAUUCUGACUCCGCAUGCAUACCUUCUUUGGCACCCAUAAGCUAUGGUUUUUUUCUCUAUUUCAUUUUUCUUGGUCUAUAUUUUUUUAAUUUUUCUCUAUUAUAUUAAGAAUUUUUUUAAACUAGUUUUGCAUAUAGUUUUUUAGGAAUUAAUUAAAAAAUCUCUCUAAAAAAACAAUUUCAGAGAAGAACUACCAAAUUUAUUUAAUUAAAUUUCUCAUUUUUUUUUGGUUGUUGUUGUAGAAGCACUUUGCGCCAUUUUACAGUUCACUUAAGAAUAAUAAUCCACACUAGCUUAAUUAACUUUCAUCUUAGUAUACUGACAUGGAGAGAUCUAGAUUAAAUAAUGACAACGUAGAUUCGCAAAUGAGAAUCUACUUAUCCUUUGUAGCAAAACUGUUUAAUUCAUGGUACAUUGGAAUAUCUACAACUUUCCGACUCCGCAUACCUUCUUUGGCACCCAUAAACUAUGAUUUUUUUCUCUAUUUCAUUUUCCUUGCUCUAUGUUUUUUAAUUUUUCUCUAUUAUAUUAAAAAAAAUUUUAAACUAGUUUUGCAUAUAGUUUUUUAGGAAUUAAUUAAAAUUUGGUGUUAGGUUCCUUCCAUAAAAAUUAAUUUUUUACAUAAGUAAGUGAAUGGUUCCUAUUAUUAAGGAAUUGAAUAUUUGAGGAUUUCCUAUGAAACUCAGAUUUUACUAAGGUAUAUAUAUAAGGAAUUUUUUUUGCAUGGAUAAUAUUGUAAAAGCAUGUAUGCGUAUAUAUUUAUGGUUUAUAGAAGUAAAGCUCAUAACUGAAUAGUAAACCAAAUAUUUCAUAUAACAGUGUGGAUUAAGGAUGUCAACGGGUCGGGUUUGGGUCGGGUUUUUAAAAACCCGAAUCCGAACCCGAAAACCAAAUUAAAACCCAUACCCGGACAUGAACCCAACAGGUUUUAAAAAUUCAUAACCAUAUCCGUACUAUUAUUAGUUAAGUUUAUUAUUAUUAGUUAAGUUUAUUUUUUAAAAAAGAACAAAAUAAGUAGCAUACUAUUUUUCUCUGAAAGCAAAAAUAAAAAAGUUGUAUAAACCGUAAAACCCAGCAUAGUGUUAAGUGAAUUUUAGCUUAAGAAAAUUUCAUCGGAAGUAUUUUAAAAAAUAAAACAAAAUGACAACAAUUUCUUUUGAGAACCACUAACUAAAAGAAUAUUGCUAGAUUCUUUUGCCUCUUCCUGGAUGAUAGGAAGCCAUUGCCAAUAAACAAAGAUUUCAAUUAGAAUUAUACAAACAAUUCAUUUCCUUUUGUUGUACACCUCCCAUCUCCUCAUACAUCAUUAAGUAUAAGAUAUUUUUCCUUUUCCAUUAAUCAAAGCCUCUACUUUAGACCUAAUUUAAUUCUAGCCAAGCCAAAAUCCAAUAUCUUCGGGUUCAUUUCUCUUUAAGUGGAUGACCUUAAACCUAGAAUAAUUAUGAAGAUAGAUGAGCCAUUUUGCAAGUCCUUCUACAAUGUAAAAGCUCUUUUGUCAAUCUAAUUAUGCUUUUUUGAUUAAAUUUGCAACUAGAAUAAUUCCUUAAGUAGAAUAUAUAUAUAUAUAUAUAUAUAUAUAUGUCAACUGAAUAUGGCCUUACUUAAGGGACUUGAAAUGCAAUUAAAUAUAUAGAAAUUCAAGCUUUUGUUGGGCAUGUAUUCACAUAUCAAUAUUUUCUCUUCUUUUUGGAUGCAGUAACCAAGGAGCUUGACUAGAUUCCUGUGCUGGAGCUUGGCGAUAAGUGUGAUCUCAUUUUCAAGCACUUCGAGCCCUUGUCCUGAACUACUCAACAACCUCUUUACCACAAUUGAGCCACUAGACCUUCAAGAAAUCCUAAAUUGCCGGUAAGCAAAUAUUAGCAAAUUAGCAUGCUAUGAAAUUUGAGUUCUAUUACAACAAUGCUAGUUCAAAAGUCUUCCAAUUAUUGUCUUCAAUUGGCUAAUUUUAGUCAAUAAGAGUUAUUUAAGUCCAUCACUGCCAUGCAAAUAUAAACUAGGAAUCAGCUAUAAGAGUUAUAGCUGAAGGAAAAUUAGUAUAGAUUCUGAAAAUGAAAACUUCUGUCAAUCGCAUGAUAAGGAGUCCAAAAAAAAUAAAAAAAGAAAAUGAAAAGUUCUUGCUUGAAUUUUUCUUUAGCUCUUAAGCCCUAGGCCACACAAAAAGAUCUUGCACUUCAUCAACACCAGCUUGGAGACCAUAAAGGUUCCCAAAUUAAAAUGAAAACCUGAUGUCAUUCAGAUAUGUUGAAGCAUAAGCAUUGCAUGAACAAUUCUUAGUACACUAGGCUUUUAUUGAUACAUAGACUCAAGUUUUGAUCCUUGGAGGAGGAAAUAGAGAACUUUACAUUCCUUAGCUUUAAGAAUCCAUCCCUAUUACUCAUGCAUUCUGAUUGUACUUUUCUUAUGCACCCAUUUAAUGAUCCUCUAACUAGAUUUAUUAAGGCUAACACUUAGUUUUUGUCAUUUCCUACAGUAUUAGGCAUUAAUCCCAUGGAUAAGACUUGGAUCAAUGAACCAAGGUUUGCUUGAGCCACUAUGUAUUUAUUCAAUAGUAGUAAAUGCAUAAUUUGAACAUAUCAAUUAACUUUCAUUUGAAAAAUAUAGGGCAAGUGAAAAAUAUCUAUAUGGAGUUACAAAGUUUCUUGAUUUUGCUUUUCUCAAAGCAUCUCGAGAGGGGUUAAUCCUUUGCCCCUGUAAUAAUUGCAAUAAUCACCUUUGGAAAGAUAGAGAGGCUAUUCUUGAACAUUUAAUUUGUGAUGGUUUUUCAAAGAAUUAUACAUACUGGAUUUAUCAUGGAGAAGAUAUUACUUCAUCUUCCUCUACACAUCAUUAUGACAAAACGGAACCACUGGACAACGUACAUGCAAUGUUGAAUGAAGCUUUUGGUAAUAUUCACGAAAUUGAUGAAGAAAUAGCACCAAAAGAUGAUGAUUGCCACGAAAAUCCUAAUGAAGAGGCAAAGAAAUUUUACAAAUUACUUGAAGAUUCAGAGCAAGAGUUAUACCCUGGUUGUAAGAGGUUCUCAAAACUCGCUUUCAUUAUUCGAUUGUUUCACAUAAAGUGUCUUAAUGGAUGGAGCAAUAGUUCAUUCACAAUGUUACUUACUUUACUCAAAGAGGCACUUCCUGAGGGUGAAACACUCCCAAGUUCCUUUUAUGAAGUCAAAAAAAUCAUUAACAACUUAGGGUUAGGGUAUACAAAAAUUGAUGCUUGCCCAAAUGACUGUCAACUAUAUUAUAAGGAGACUGCUAAUUCAGACUCAUGUGCUAUUUGUGGUACUUCACGAUGGAAAUCGACUGAAAAUGAUGUAGAAAGUAAUGCAUCGGCUAUUACUAAGAAAAAGGUCAAAAAAAUUUCAGCCAAAGUUUUACGCCAUUUUCCUUUAAAACCAAGACUACAAAGGUUGUUCAAGUCAUCAAAAACAUCAUCACUAAUGAGAUGGCAUCAAGAGCAUCGAACAAAUGAUGGAGUUAUGAGGCAUCCUGCUGAUUCUCCCGCAUGGAAAACAUUUGAUUUUGAACAUAAAGAGUUUUCUUCUGAACUUAGAAAUGUUAGACUUGGCUUGGCAAGCGAUGGUUUCAAUCCUUUCCGAACAAUGAGCACAACGCAUAGUACAUGGCCUGUUAUUUUGAUACCAUAUAAUCUACCGCCUUGGAUGUGCAUGAAGCAAUCAUAUUUAAUAUUGUCGUUGCUUAUUCCCGGUCCAAAUGCACCUGGAAAUGAUAUUGAUGUAUAUUUACAACCUUUAAUUGAUGAACUGAAUGAUCUUUGGCUAAAUGCAUUGCAAACUUAUGAUGCUUCAAAGAAGCAAAACUUUCAGUUGCAUGCUGCAUUACUAUGGACUAUAAGUGAUUUUCCUGGAUAUGCUAACUUAUCGGGAUGGAGUACUAAAGGCCGUUUGGCAUGCCCUUCAUGUAAUGUAAACACAGACUCACGCUAUUUGAAGCAUGGUCGAAAGUUUUGCUAUAUGGGUCAUCGUCGAUUUUUAGAACGAAAUCACAAAUUUCGACGUGAUAGAAUAUCUUCUGACGGAAACCCAGAGGUUAGAGAUGCGCCACUUCCAUUAUCUAGUUCUCAGAUAGUGGAUCAGCUAAAAAAUGUCCAAAAUGAAUUUGGUAAGUCAAACCAUAGUUGUAAAGGUAAGAAGAAACAAGGACGAGAUAUUAUGUCACACAAUUGGAAGAAAAAGAGUAUAUUCUUCUCUUUACCAUAUUGGGAAAAACUUCUUAUACGUCAUAAUUUAGAUGUGAUGCACAUUGAGAAGAAUGUAAAUGAUAAUGUGCUUUGGACAUUAUUAAAUGCAGAUGGUAAAACAAAGGAUAAUAUAAAGUCUCGUCUUGAUAUGCAGCUUAUGGGCAUUAGAGAGUCACUGCAUUUGAGGCAAAAUGGAAGCAAAACUAUAGUUCCUUUAGCAUGCUUUGCACUUUCUAGAGAAGAAAAAAGUAUCUUUUUGAAGUUAUUGAAGUCUAUCAAAGUUCCUGAUGGGUAUGCUGCAAAUAUUUCGAGAUGCGUGCAUUUAAAGGACCGUAAGAUUAUUAUAGGAUUGAAAAGUCAUGACAAUCACAUAUUGAUGCAACAACUACUUCAUUUUGCUCUUCGGAGUGUUUUACCAAAAAAUGUAAGUUGUGCACUCAUGGAAUUAAGUGGUUUCUUCAUAGAUCUAUGUUCUAAAUCUCUUAAAGGGAAGGAACUUCAAAUAUUAGACUCUCGUAUAGUCUUAACACUUUGUAAAUUAGAAAGGAUCUUCCCACCAGCAUUUUUUGAUAUUAUGGUUCAUUUGCCUAUACAUCUUGCAUACGAGGCUAGGAUAGCCGGAUCGGUGCAAUAUCGAUGGAUGUAUCCAAUUGAAAGGUAAUUAAAUAUUUUGAAAUAGCUUAUAUGGUUCGUGUGUGAGUCUAUUAAAGCUCAACUAUACAUACAAACAUACAUACAUACAUACAUAUGUAUGAUGUAUGUAUAUAUAUGUGUGUAUGUACAUAUACAUAUUACCAUCUUAAUUAUAGUAUCUUACACUUAAUAAACUUAUAGGUUCUUUUUUACCUUGAAAUCCUAUGUGCGCAACCGAAGUCACCCUGAAGGUUCAAUUGCGGAAGGGUACUUAGCUGAAGAAAGUUUAGCCUUUUGUUCACAAUAUUUUCAAGGUGUUGAGACGAGGUUCUGUCACGCCCCGGGGUCCCUUUUCAGUUUAAAACAAAGCGGAAAGCGACUGAAAUUUUUUUUUUUUUUUUGAAAACCUGACCCCAGGGUAUGCCAGAUCCGCCACAAAUACAGGGAAUCCACUGUUCACACGGACAGAGUCUCCCCUAUAUUUGCACGGCGUCGAUCAAAUACACAGUACAACCAGGANGAAAACUAAAAAUCGCGUAUCUUCUCCAUUUUAGCUCAUUUUCGUCCGAAACUUGACGAGUGCUUAUGUAAUUAAAUUACACACAUAAACAUCAUCAACAGAGAGUUUAGUUGCACUGUCAAAAAAUCUCAGUCCUUACAGGUUCAAUCGACCACGAAGAAAUUACGAAGGUGAAUUUGAACUUGAAAAACAUCCGUUAUUUCCUUUGUCUCCAAAUGGUCGAGCUGUAGGACAUAGCGAGAUGUUUGAUCUGGACGAAACUUCAUGGCUACAAGCACAUCGCUAUAUUCUAUUUAAUUGCGACAUUGUUUCUCCAUACCUUCAGUAAGAUGAGUUACAACUCAAAUUAAUCCAUAGUUUUUCUAUACCAAUGGCAUUAAAUAUUGGACCCUAAUUUUGAUAUAAUUGUAUUUACUUGUAGAAAACAUGUUGAAGGAAUUAAAGGUAGAAAGCGUCGAAUGCGACAAAUGGAGGUUGAGCGUGUCCAUAGUAGUUCAUUUCAUGAAUGGUUUAGAGAACAUGUAGGUCAACAAUCCUUAUACUAGUUAAGCAUAUUUAUUUAUUUAUUUUUGGCUUAGACGCGAAUAGAAUAUUUACUAAACUUUUGAGAUGUUUUUUUUGUGAACUAGAUUUACAAAUUACUUGAAGCAAGGAGUGAUGUAGUUUCAGAAGAAAUCAUCUCAUUGGCCCGUGGUCCUCAAAAAGCUGCAAAGAGAUUUAAGGGCUACAUAAUUAAUGGGUUUAGAUUCCACACUAAAGAACGUGAAACAAAUAGAAAAAUCCAAAAUAGUGGAGUUGUUAUCAUUGCUAGUACAUCAAGUUAUGCUAGUGCUAAAGAUAAGAAGCCAAUGACAGGAGAUGUCACAUAUUAUGGUAUCCUCACGGACAUUAUAGAAUUGAACUACUAUGAGCAUUUUAAAGUGGUGUUGUUUAAAUGUGAUUGGGCAAAUGUACACUCACAAGGCAAAGGAGUGAAGAAAGAUGAUUACGGGUUCACACUUUUAAACUUUAGUCGACUAUUAUUUAAUGGAAAUCAAUUAUCUGACGAACCUUUCAUAUUAGCAAGUCAAGCGAAGCAAGUUUUCGAUGUACAAGAUCCUAUCGAAAAGGAAUGGCGGAUUGUUGUUCAUACAAAACCAAGGGACUUUUUUGAUAUGGAAGCAGAUGUUCUUACAGAUGACAUAGAGUUUCAAGUGGAUAAUGACACCCCGAAAAAUAUCAUGAAUGAGAUAGAAGAAGAAUUCAGUUGGAAUAGAAAUGAUGUCCCUGAACUUACAAUUGACACACCUAUAAUCAACACUUUUGAUUUUCAAGAAAACACUCACGAAGAUGCACAGUUCGAGGAAGAUAAUAAUUAAAUUGACUCUACAAGUGUAGGUAUAUAUUGAUUUUUCAUUUAAUAAUCUAUUCUAUUAGUUUAUAUUAUUUUACUAUUUAUUAAUAUAUGUUGUUUUUAUUUGCAAAUCAUAAAUCUUUAUCUGUACAAACUGAUAUAGCUAAUCUUGAUUUCUUAUAUGCAGGUGUCAACUAUGAGAAACAAAAAGGGUAAAGAGAAGAUUUCAACAGAAUCAUGUUUUGACCAAAAAGAGUACGAUGAGAUGCUGCUAGAUCGGGAUAACCAAAUACAUCAUUCUUGGUUGAACCAAUCUCUUUCUUUUAACCCUCAAAAUCAUAUCCAACCAUCACUUGAACAUGAACUUCAUCGCUACCUAUCUCAACUAGUUGGUAAUUUGCACCAAGAUGAGCAAUCAUUGCCUAAACAAAUCCAAGUAGAGAAAAGUCAUGAUUUUGCAAGAUCACAAUCUGAACAAGUAGAGUUGCAACCAGCAAAUGAAUGCUCACUACAACCUGAAAUUAUCAAGUUAUUUCAAAGCUUCCAACAACAUCAAGUGACUCAGAAUUUGCUUGAAAACAUGCAAGUUGAAAAUUUUCAACCUGAAAGAGGCCCUUCUUAUCAUGACCAUUCUAGACAUUGUGAUUCCUUACAAAAUCCAAACAAUUUUGAAGACUCUGAAGAAGAUGAUGAUAUAUGCAAUAGUAAGCCACUCUCCCAAUAUUUUUUAAAUUUUAAAUCUACAGCACUCUCAAAUCCAUUAUAUUACUUCCAAUUGAAUUGAGUUAUAGUCUCUUUUAGUUUACUCUAUUUUUGUAUAAGAUGCAUCUUGUCACGCCCCGGGACCGAUACCAAUUUGGCCCGACCCGAGCACAUCAAACAGACGCCGAACGGACAGAGUUUCCCCUAUCCGUCCAAGGCUCAUCACAUGUACAUUUUCAUCAAUAGAGAAAAGCACUAGCGGAAACAUACAUAAACGGCUUACACGAGGGUAAGCAAUAGCCAUUAGUGAAAGAAAGGAAGACUAGACAUUCGCUUGUACUAUGAUUCAAUUUAGAUCAUAUACAUACAUUCAACUUGUAAUUUUUUUGAAUUCCUUACAUUUCGUUUCAUCAUUUCUUUCUUACAUCACAUUUACCUCAAAAUACACAUUACAUUCUUUUCCUUGCUUUAUACAUUAACAUCUAGUAUGAACGAUACUCAAGGCACGAGCUCCCGCCAGCGAGGGGGAGCCCGCUACGCGAGGCCUCAAUACGUAGUGCCCAACCUCAUUUGGGCUUCCUGCCAGGAUCGCCCACUCAAGGACGCUACUACCUGAAUUACACUUCGUUCAAUUACACCGCUAUGGGGGCCCAAUCGGAACUCUAAUUUCUUGUUUCUCGUUUCUUGUUUCACGUUUCCUGUUCUUGUUUCUCAUUUCACUUUUCUUAUUUCUUAAACGUAUUAGACGUAUACAAUUACAACUCGUAUAAGGAACGAAUAACAAGUCCGUAUAAUCGUAGUACAACAUCUUACCAAUGAUAUAAAGUCGAAUAGGAAAGAUAAUACGGACUCAAUCGGGAUCACCCUUUCAACCCUACAACUCCGGCUUGGGUGACCCUUGAAACAACAUCAAGAGUGGGGUGAUAAAGGUGUCUCGGCCCUGGCUCGCUCGGCCGCUCGCUGGCUCCAUUUCCAUAGCGCGGAAUCAGUCUCCGGUGGUUUCAACCCAAAGUAAAACAUCAUUUCAUGGGAUACAAGUAGAAAACAUAAACUACUAAGUCUNGGACCGGUCUCUCCCACCAGGGACCGAUCCCCGAGAGCUCAAAAUCUGCAGUUUUGCAGAUUUUAUUCUAUAGCUCUCGAAAACCUCCCGUAACUCACUUUUACUCAUUUUAACACCUUCGGACUUUCCGAAGUGUACCAUCCUCGCACUUUGGUCAAUUUGACUAAAGUUCGAUAUUUAUUUCCCGAAUUUUCGGUAUAUUACACAUCUAAACUUAUGUAUAGGUAGCAACAAACAAAAUUUUCUUUUUUAUAUUAAUAGAAGCAUGUGAUAGGAUUUCGAAGUAGAAUUUUGAAAUAAGAUAUAUUUGGAUAGAUUAGAAUGUUAUUUUUUUACUUGUAUAUAGCAAUAAAAAUUUACAUUUUGUUAUUGAUAGAAAGUGAAUAACUAUUUUGAUUUGUUGGACAGAGUCUUCUCAUGCAUCACAAAAGACUCCAGGCCGUACAAAGUUGCUCAAAUUAUUUAAAAGGACUUCUCCGAAACCUAUAAAACUUAAUGAGUUUGGGCAACCUAUUGGAAAAGUAGCAGCCACAUUAAGUAACUUUUUGGGGCUAAUGGCAAGAAAUGGACAAAUAAUUCCUCUAAGUUAUAAAGAUUGGAGAGUUGUUCCAAAUUCAACUAAGGAUAUUAUGUGGAUGAUUGUACAGGUGUAGGAAAUUUGCUUUUUUUUUUCUUUGCAGGCCAUAUUUUUCAUAUGAUGUUUUAUUGAUAUUUCUUUUCUCUUUGUCUAGAAAAAAUUUCAAAUUUCAGAAGAAGGAAGAGAUUGGGUUAUUAUGUCCAUAGGAAAAGAAUGGAGGGAGUUCAAAAGCAAACUAAAAAAACUUCACUAUGAUACUCAUAAAACUUACGAGGAAAAGAUAGCAGCUUGUGAUUCUCGAGUACACGCGAAAGAAUGGGAAUUUCUUGUUAAGCACUGGGACUCUCAAGUAGGACAGGUAUGAAUGUUACUUUUUAACUUGAUUUUGAUAGUUUGGGGUCAGCGAAUAACUUUAUUUAUUAGACAUCGAAAAAUUGAUCUUUACUAUUUUGUAUGUAAUUGAUUUUUUCUGUUGCUAUAAAUAGCUCUACACAAGCUUUGCAUUAAAUUUUAGAUAGUAUUCAAUGAAAUAUUAUUCUAAUUACUUCUUUGAGCACAUGUACAUUUAUUCUAAUAGGAACGUAGUGCCAAAAAUAAAGCUAGCCGUGCAAUGCUAAAAACCACACAUACAGCAGGCACAAAAAGCUUCGCAAGAGUUCGUGCUGAGGUAAACUUAAUCCUCUCAAUUAUAGUCUUUUCAUUACUAACACUUUUAUAGAUUUUUGAUUGUUAUUGAAAGUUUAAUUUCUAAAUAUUGUUAGAUGGCAAAGAAAAAUAAUCAUAUUCAACCGAGAAGACAUGAGCUCUACAUAAGAACGCACACCAAGAAGAAUGGCAAGCCUUUAAAUGCGUAUUGCUCGAAAAUCAUGGUAUGUCUUUAGAUUUGGACAAAUUUUAGUUAUAAAAGUUGUUUGAAUUAGUCAAGUAUAAUUUCUUACUUUUUAUAGUAAAAUAUUGGAGAUUUAGUUCCAUUAUAUCCUGAAGUUGCACAAAGAGAUCCAUCUCGAAAUGACCUUUUAUCGCUGCUACUUAAAGAGAAAAGUACUCAACUUCAUUGUCAUGGAUUGGGUCCUAUUCCAGAUGAACUUCGAAAAUCAAAGACAACUCGUGCUGAUAAUAUUCGAAUGCUUUCUGAGACCAAAAAAGAAGCCGAGGAGGAGAAACGUGUAAUGCAAUCAGAAUUAGUAGAUAUGAGACAAAAAUAUGAAGAUAUACACAAGGAAAUGAUGACAAUGAAGGCAUGGGUAGAAUCAAUAGGUAAAAGGCCUCAAGACCAUUUCAUACUAGGAGAAGGAAUAUCAUGCGUUCCACAAGGCCUCAAACUAGUAAGCAUAAUUUAUAAAUAAUUUUAUCUUUUUUGAUGUAUAUGAAAAACUAAUAUAUCAUCUAACUUUUUUUUCUCCAAUUUAGAAAUGCACUGAUCUUCCUUAUAAUGGAUCACCUAAUAAUCAGGCAACCUCUUCUCAUUCUAGUUAUGAAGCACCACCAACUCAGGUAUUUUAUCAUCUCAAAUGGCUUUUCUUGAGUAAUCUUGCUAAAACUCAAAAUUUUCAACCAAAAUUAAUUAGUUAGUUUUAAUAUUUUGCUAACCAAUUUUAGAUGACAAGAAGAUUAUUAAUUGCUAUUGCCUAUUUUGUUAGUUAAUUUAAUUUCUAUUUUUAACAAAGUGACAUCGCUAGUUAUUUUGUUUCUCUCUUUUUAAAGGCAUAAACUAAUCUUAGAAUCUGAAAAUUGUUAAUUCUAAUUAUAUCGUAGGUGUAUCGAGCUAAGAAUAUCUCAAAGAGAGUCCACGCUGUAUCAAAUAUUAUGGUUAUCUUCUAUCUCUUAUUCUUUUUAUGUUAUCAUGAUGAUUUUUUUCUCUACAACAUAUAUAAGUUUAAAUUACUAUAUUUGUUUAUUCACUUAUUGUUAGAUUGGAACUGAAGUUUACUUGAGGAGUUUAUAAAAACCUCACAAUCAUGUAGCACAAGGUUAUCUUUUGAGUAAAGAUCCAACUACAAGAGUAGGUGGGUUCGAAUUAGGACCACAGUGUUGGGAGAUUCAAAUUGAUGUGCCAAUAGUACGCAAUGAACCACUACUUAGACCAUAUAGUAGCUAUCAAACAAUUGGAGAUGCUGUUGGAGCAACUGUUGCUUGGCCAUAUACUUUUGUAAGGAUGAGUUAUCUCAACCAUAUUUUAUUUUUUCAAUUAUCUUUCAUCAUCUAUAGCCUAUUAUAUAUAUAUGUUUAAUUUGCUUUUUGUUCUUUUCACAGGUUAAGUGCAAGUAGUGCAUGAUAUUGUGUUCAUCUCCGCGCAAUAUAUUUUGAACCUGUUAGAAACAAAAAGACAUGGAGCACAUUUCUUAUAAUUUUGUGAUGAUCACUUUUAUAUGUUACUACUUAUAGUGCAGAACAUGUAUUUAACAAAUAUAAUCUUGGAAUAUUUUGGCAUAUUAGAUGUAUAAUCUUGAGAUAUUUUGGCAUGAUGUUGUGUUCAUCUCCGCACUAUACAUUUUGUAUCUGUUGGAAUCGAAAAGCUGUGGAGCAUAUUUCUUAUAAUUUUGUCAUGAUCAGUUUAUAUGUUACUACUUAUAUAUUGAAGAAUAUGUAGGUUAAAUAUGCAAUUUAUGAUAUUUUUGGUUGAAUUGCACUUUUAUAUAUUGUAACUUUUAUUGAUCUUGUAAUUUUAUAUGCAUAAAUAGUUUAUUAUUGAAUGACAAUUAGCUAAAAUAUUAUUUAUAAUUUUUUAAUGCAUUAUCUAUUAUUCAAUAUUUAAAAAUUAGUAUAAUAUUUAGUGAUAUUUGAAUUUAGAUGUUGGAUAUUAAAUUAUAAAUAGCAAUAUUUAGUAAUGUUGGGAAUAGUUGCUUUAUACUAACAUUAGCAACAUUUAGUAAUGUUGGGAAUGGUUAAAUUAUACCAANNNNNNNNNNNNNNNNNNNNNNNNNAUUUUUGAGCCCUAACAUGCAAUUACCUCCAAAUAAUCCAAAUUAAAUAGAGCAACAUGCUAAGAAUGCUCAUUAUAGGCUAUUAGAACACUUAAAGCUAAGGAUUAAGCCAAAUUCCAAAAGCUUACCACAAUGUGAACGCCGCGACGAAAGCACACCGCUCCAACGGGCGCACGAAAGGUCGAUCCGUCGCUCCCAACGCGUUCGCAAGCUCGUUCUCCGCCAACGCCGCGAAUUUGGGCGAAAGAUCUAGAGAGAUGAGAGAGUUAUUUAGAGAGAGAAAGUGAGGAUUUUCUCUCACUACCACCAUGAACGUGAGCUUGGGGGUGGUCGGCUGAUGUGAAGAAGAGAAGAAGCUAAUUAGCUUCAAUUUAUAGUCAACACUCCAAUAGGAGCAUACACUAUUCACUCCAUGGGGGCUUACAACUGAUGUUUUUUUGCCGGAGCCCUUUUGAAUUUCCGUUUGAGCUCAAACUUGACAGGCAGGCUUGGUUUCACAUAACGAGUCCCAAGAAAUUUUAACAUUUCAGUUUUGACCCUGUUUGGUCACUGGAAACUGUACCGAACUGAAAUCUUUAUCAGAUAACAAUUCGAUUUUAUUCUCCACCUUUCGGGUGUCAGAAUGGGCUGAAACUUUAAAUCUAGCCUCAUAAAAAUAAUUCUGACUGAUCCAUCAACUUUUCAUAAUUUUCUGACACUUUACAUUUUCUGCUAAUUUUUCUGUCCCGUUUCACACAGAAAAUUCUAAAUCUUUUGUUUUCAUUCCGAUUUCAGCACAAGUCAUUCUAGACUUAUAUUUUAUUUUUCGAAACCCAAUAAAAAUAGUAUCCCACACUAUUUUUAUUUACUUUUAUUUUUAUACCAAAAUCUGGUAUAUUACAUUCUCCACCCCUUAAAAAGACUUUCGUCCGCGAAACUCAAAUCACACCUCAAUUCAGCUCCUCAAGCAAUUGAGGGCACCAAUACACUUUUUCUCUUCGGAAUGACUUUACACUCCUUGGAACUAUCCAAGAGGACUACCACGGAGUUCAUGAUACUAAAUGCAUCCAAAUUUGCAAGGCACAUCUCACAAAGUGCAUUAAGGUAUCCAUCAUUCUUGGUGGCGGCGCAAGUCGAAACUCAACGACUCCACGCGCUCCAAUACCAUUUGUCACUUAGCAUGCAAGAACUCUUCUUCGCAUUUACUUUUCCUUCAGGGAAUACACUCCGAUUCUAUCUCCAACAUUGCUUAAAAGCAACAUUACUAGUGCAUCGCUUCACCGCGAGUGCUCUAAUUCCGCACCGAUCUUUAGCUCUAACAUGAGAUGGCCCACCUCGGCACAUCCCAAAUCCAAUCCUCAAACUCCACGUGGCUUCUCACAAUCUCAAGGUCUCACCACGAGCACUUCAUCUUCUGAUACCAUGUGCCACGGCCAACGUCUUAUCGAGUCAAUCCUUUAUGCUUACCCUUAAGAGGGAUAGCACUUGAUACAGGCUCUAUAUCUUGGACGACGACUGCUGCAGUACCGUCCAUACUCGAUAAUUACGUCAAUACACAAAGACGUAUUACAUUUCAACCACGUAACGUACGUAACUCGUACAUUAAUUAAUGAUGAUAAAUACAUCAUCGUAUCAUCCCAGCUUCACUCGCCUAUUUACAUUUAUGGGCCCUUGCGAAUACAACACUUCCGUAUCGUGGACGGCCACGUCCAUCUCUUGAUCUACCGUGAUCGCUCAGCGAUCACUACUAGAUUACUACUCUGAACAUCAUCUCCACCUUUACUACUUGGUUGAGCGUCUCGUUACAUACAUUAACUAACGCUCUCAACACAGUACUGUGAACACCUGCGAGCUUGCUAAGCUCACAAGAUCUACAACGAAGCCAUCUCGCUAACCGACGGUUUAUGCCCGCGCAACCGGAUCAUCAUGGAGCUUAACUCCACCCACUCAACACGAGCACACCGGCCACACGUAUCCGUUUCAACGGACUACGAACUGUAUCAACCUUGCGAUAUCUCCGCUCAUCUCGCGAGCUCAUAUCAAAGAGUACCUCACGCCUACAUUAAGUCGGUUCACUCUCACAACCGUCAUCGUGGAUUCGUAACGAUCCACACUUCGUACGGUACCUAAUGAGCACCCCGACCACCGAGCGUGAACCACGUAUCCUCGACUAUCACCAUGCAUAACGAGUUAUCCCGCACAUCACGCUACCUAUCAUAUAGCUCUCACGCUAAUACUGGGUUGGGCUCCUAAACAUUGCCAAACCCUAAAAUCAACGAGGACCAACCUCACACACGCUUAAGGGGUCACUCUUAAAGCGGGGUUGCUACUAACCCAGAUGCGAACGCUCGUUCUCUGCAGCUCAUAACUCUGCCCAAAUCCGAUAGCGGAUGCAUCAUAUCCACCGGAAACCGAGUGGACACCUUUCAGCUCCUUCCACUAAACCGUUCAUCGGAAUAGCCCCUCAAACUGAACUCAAGUGCUUACUGCACAAGUACACUCGAGAAACGCUUUCAUNNNNNNNNNNNNNNNNNNNNNNNNNNNNNNNNNNNNNNNNNNNNNNNNNNNNNNNNNNNNNNNNNNNNNNNNNNNNNNNNNNNNNNNNNNNNNNNNNNNNNNNNNNNNNNNNNNNNNNNNNNNNNNNNNNNNNNNNNNNNNNNNNNNNNNNNNNNNNNNNNNNNNNNNNNNNNNNNNNNNNNNNNNNNNNNNNNNNNNNNNNNNNNNNNNNNNNNNNNNNNNNNNNNNNNNNNNNNNNNNNNNNNNNNNNNNNNNNNNNNNNNNNNNNNNNNNNNNNNNNNNNNNNNNNNNNNNNNNNNNNNNNNNNNNNNNNNNNNNNNNNNNNNNNNNNNNNNNNNNNNNNNNNNNNNNNNNNNNNNNNNNNNNNNNNNNNNNNNNNNNNNNNNNNNNNNNNNNNNNNNNNNNNNNNNNNNNNNNNNNNNNNNNNNNNNNNNNNNNNNNNNNNNNNNNNNNNNNNNNNNNNNNNNNNNNNNNNNNNNNNNNNNNNNNNNNNNNNNNNNNNNNNNNNNNNNNNNNNNNNNNNNNNNNNNNNNNNNNNNNNNNNNNNNNNNNNNNNNNNNNNNNNNNNNNNNNNNNNNNNNNNNNNNNNNNNNNNNNNNNNNNNNNNNNNNNNNNNNNNNNNNNNNNNNNNNNNNNNNNNNNNNNNNNNNNNNNNNNNNNNNNNNNNNNNNNNNNNNNNNNNNNNNNNNNNNNNNNNNNNNNNNNNNNNNNNNNNNNNNNNNNNNNNNNNNNNNNNNNNNNNNNNNNNNNNNNNNNNNNNNNNNNNNNNNNNNNNNNNNNNNNNNNNNNNNNNNNNNNNNNNNNNNNNNNNNNNNNNNNNNNNNNNNNNNNNNNNNNNNNNNNNNNNNNNNNNNNNNNNNNNNNNNNNNNNNNNNNNNNNNNNNNNNNNNNNNNNNNNNNNNNNNNNNNNNNNNNNNNNNNNNNNNNNNNNNNNNNNNNNNNNNNNNNNNNNNNNNNNNNNNNNNNNNNNNNNNNNNNNNNNNNNNNNNNNNNNNNNNNNNNNNNNNNNNNNNNNNNNNNNNNNNNNNNNNNNNNNNNNNNNNNNNNNNNNNNNNNNNNNNNNNNNNNNNNNNNNNNNNNNNNNNNNNNNNNNNNNNNNNNNNNNNNNNNNNNNNNNNNNNNNNNNNNNNNNNNNNNNNNNNNNNNNNNNNNNNNNNNNNNNNNNNNNNNNNNNNNNNNNNNNNNNNNNNNNNNNNNNNNNNNNNNNNNNNNNNNNNNNNNNNNNNNNNNNNNNNNNNNNNNNNNNNNNNNNNNNNNNNNNNNNNNNNNNNNNNNNNNNNNNNNNNNNNNNNNNNNNNNNNNNNNNNNNNNNNNNNNNNNNNNNNNNNNNNNNNNNNNNNNNNNNNNNNNNNNNNNNNNNNNNNNNNNNNNNNNNNNNNNNNNNNNNNNNNNNNNNNNNNNNNNNNNNNNNNNNNNNNNNNNNNNNNNNNNNNNNNNNNNNNNNNNNNNNNNNNNNNNNNNNNNNNNNNNNNNNNNNNNNNNNNNNNNNNNNNNNNNNNNNNNNNNNNNNNNNNNNNNNNNNNNNNNNNNNNNNNNNNNNNNNNNNNNNNNNNNNNNNNNNNNNNNNNUCUCACCGUCGCACUACAAGAGCGUCCGCUUCGCCGUUUCAAGUGCAGUAUCUUUUCGCCAUGCUACCACGGUGCCUCAAAUCCAUUUCCACAAUUUUACGACGCUGCCUUGGCCCUCCCGGCGGACCCGAAGCCUAAACGUCUGUUUCUUUAAUAACUUCGUAACGGCUCGUCGGAUUGCCGAACCGUCUUCGCCAACGCGUUUCGUUACCUAACAAUUUGGUUUACGGAGGGUCAAAUUAGAUCAAACCCUCACAUAUUGCAAAAUCCCAUUUUUGAGCCCUAACAUGCAAUUACCUCCAAAUAAUCCAAAUUAAAUGGAGCAACAUGCUAAGAAUGCUCAUUAUAGGCUAUUAGAACACUUAAAGCUAAGGAUUAAGCCAAAUUCCAAAAGCUUACCACAAUGUGAACGCCGCGACGAAAGCACACCGCUCCAACGGGCGCACGAAAGGUCGAUCCGUCGCUCCCAACGCGUUCGCAAGCUCGUUCUCCGCCAACGCCGCGAAUUUGGGCGAAAGAUCUAGAGAGAUGAGAGAGUUAUUUAGAGAGAGAAAGUGAGGAUUUUCUCUUACUACCACCAUGAACGUGAGCUUGGGGGUGGUCGGUUGAUGUGAAGAAGAGAAGAAGCUAAUUAGCUUCAAUUUAUAGUCAACACUCCAAUAGGAGCAUACACUAUUCACUCCAGGGGGGCUUACAACUGACGUUUUUUCGCCGGAGCCCUUUUGAAUGUCCGUUUGAGCUCAAACUUGACAGGCAGGCUCGGUUUCACAUAACGAGUCCAAAGAAAUUUUAACAUUUCAGUUUCAACCCCGUUUGGUCACCGAAAACUGUACCGAACUGAAAUCUUUAUCAGAUAACAGUUCGAUUUUAUUCUCCACCUUCCGGGUGUCAGAAUGGGCUGAAACUUUAAAUCUAGCCUCAUAAAAAUAAUUCUGACUGAUCCGUCAACUUUUCAUAAUUUUCUGACACUGUGCAUUUUCUGCUAAUUUUUCUGUCCCGUUUCACACAGAAAAUUCUAAAUCUUCUGUUUGCAUUCCGAUUUCAGCACAAGUCAUUCUAUACUUAUAUUUUAUUUUUCGAAACCCAAUAAAAAUAGUAUCUCACACUAUUUUUAUUUACUUUUAUUUUUAUACCAAAAUUUGGUAUAUUACACCCUGAGACCGUCGUCAGUUUUUAAAAUUGUGUUUUUGAAAUCUUAGCCUAUCCAGAAGUCUUCUAACCCUAUAAAUAUGAUAUGAGGAGUACCAUAUGCGGCAAGCUUAGAGAGAAAAUCUUUUUGAAGCCCUAAGAGCUUGUGUUAGAGUUUUCGAUCAAUGUUUUGAAAAUCAAGUUUUUAGUUUUGAUCACCGAUUCAAUUCUUCGAUUCUAAUUUCAAUGGUUCUUUAAGGAUUAGAUCGGUGAUGAACUAAUUAGGGUUUCUCCUCAUAUCAUAUGUGCUUUCUAAGUAUUUCAAUCACCACAAAUUGUUAAUCUCAAUGAGCUUCGGAUGGAGCGAACACGCGUGGAUCGCGUGUGAGGCCGAGGAUUCAGUGGACGCAUCGAGGAGUCGAGGCGUUGACGCUGCGAGGAUUUACGGCAGGAUUGAUCGAAGGACUUUGAUCGAUUGAGGACCGGCGAAGACAAUCUACAACGAGGAUUCGGUAAAUUGAGUCGUGUAUUUUUGGUAAAUCACUUGUACUCAAGUUUUCUUAGUGGAUUUCUUUGUGUGAUCGGUCUCGUGGGUUUUUCUCUCCGGAUUGGAGUUUUCCCACGUUAAAAUCUCAUGUGUUGUUUUUAUUUUUCGCAUUCUCUUUUAAAUUGCAUCGAAUUUAUUUGUUUUUACCGUUUACACCUAUUUACCCCCCUCUAGGUGUCUUUUACCUUUAAGAUCCUUGGGAUCCAUAUCUCACAAGUGGUAUCAGAGCGGGUAUAGGUUGUAAACUAUGGCCGAGGGCGGUAACAUUAAUCGACCCCCUCUCUUCGAUGGCACUAAUUACGCUUAUUGGAAGAUUCAUAUGAGAGUGUUUCUUAUUGCCAUUGACGAGCGGGUUUGACAAUCUAUUGAAUUCGGAUGGAAACAUCCUACCGAAGUGGUCGAUAAUGUUAGCGGUCCCAAACCUAGAAAUAAAUGGACGAAAGACGAAAAUAAACUUUCUUCAUUCAACGGAAAGGUAUCAAUGCUCUAUUUACUGCUUUGAAUCAAACCGAAUUUUCUCGUGUCUCGGCGUGUGAAACCGCCAAAGAGAUUUGGGACACUUUACAAAUUACACAUGAGGGUACAAGCUUAGUAAAGAUUCAAAAAUUGCAAAUGUUGACUAGUAGAUUUUAUUCUAUUCGUAUGGAAGAACAUGAAACCUUUACUGAGUAUUAUACUCGUUUGCAAGAUAUUAUCAACACGUGCUAAUUUGGGAGAGAAAAUUUCGAACACUAAAAUUGUUAGAAAAAUUUUAAGAACCCUUCCCGAACGAUUUCGUCCUAAGGUUGCGGCCAUAGAAACGGUAAAACAUCCGGAUGAAUUAAAAGUAGAAGAAUUAGUUGGUGCACUUCAAACUUAUGAGAUGACUUUUCCUUCUAAUUCAUCUUCUUCCAAGUUGUCUUCUAAAGCUUCAGGUAUGACACUAAAAUCAACAAAAGGAGGCAACGUGGAAUCUUCUUCAUCGGAUUCGGACUCAGACGUAACCUUGGAAGAGUUUGAGAAGCAAAUGGCUCUUUUGACGAAGAAGUUCCGUCAGAACUUUAGGAAGAAGUUUCCUUCCAAGUCAACUCCCUCGAAGCAAAAUAAAUCAAAAGGGAGUACUUCUUCUUCUAAGUUUAAGAAAUCUGAAAACUUUUCAAAAGACUUUACAAAAGAAAAGAAGAAUGUUGAAGGACAAAUCCAAUGCUAUAAGUGUAGAGGUUUUGGUCAUAUAGCAUCGGAUUGUCCAAACAAAAAAUCUUUGAAAAAGAAAGCGAUGCAAGCCAUUACUUGGGAUGAUUCAUCUUCUAACGAGUCAACCUCAAGUGAUAAGGAUAUAAAUGCUACUGCUCUUCUUGCAUUCGACUCUUCUUUUUUGUGUUUAGUGUCUACUGACUCUAUAUCUUUGUCUUCUAUGCAUGAAAAAUCUUCUUCGGAGAACUCAUCGGAUGAAGAAUCAGAUGAAGAUGAUAUGGCCACCGCAUAUCACCAACUUGUUAUUGAAUCAAAGGAAGUGGCAAAACACAACAAGAAAUUGCGGCGUAGAUUGUAUGAUCUGGAUCAAGAGAAUACAAGAUUAGAGUCGUUGACAAAAAGUCUUGAGCAAGAAAAAGAGGGUUUGACUAAGGCUUACAAUUCUUUACUUGACAAGUGUGCAUUGCUUGAAAAGGAAAAGGAGUCUCAUGUUGAAAAUAUCAAUUUCCUUACCAAGCAAUACACUGAAGCUAGAGAAUCCCAUAUGGAAUUCACCAAGACGAUUAUUCAACUCAAAUCGGAUUUAAAUCAAUUCUCGUCUGGCUCUAGCAAACUUGACAAGAUGCUAGGACUUGGUCAAACCAACAAAUUCGGACUUGGAUACGAACGGACGUAUGUCGAUCAAGUGAUGAAGAAAGUGGAGGAACAUCUAACGAAACCGACACCUAUGGUUUAUUGUAAAUUUGUCUCCCCUAAGAAUUCUUUUGCUAACAAAACAUGUCAUCUUUGUGGUGUUGUAGGUCAUGUGAAAAGAUUUUGCAAAGAAAAGCUGAAAAGUACUACAACACUCAUGAAUCGGAGACCAAUGGAACAAUUGAAAAAGGAAGAUCCAAAGGCUAAUUCAAAGCAAAUAUGGAAAUGGAAGAAGGAUGAUCCCAAGAAGAGGAUAGAUCAAAUCGUCGAUAAGCAACGAACGUCACAAUCAAGUCAGCCGACGCAACCCAAAACAUGUAAGGUUUGGGUGCGUAAAGGUGAACUCUUUCCUUGCCUUGUCAUUCACACUUCACUUCAUGCUUAUGAUACCUCAUCUUGGUAUUUAGAUAGUGGUUGUUCACGACAUAUGACCAGUGAUAAAAAUUGGUUUACUUCUUUAAAUGAAAUUUUUGGAGGUUUUGUGGUCUUCGGAGAUGGUCGGUCAUCAAAAAUUGUUGGAAAAGGAACAUUCACUAUCUCUGAUGGCCCUAUUUUGAAUGAUGUUUUUUAUGUUGAAGGGCUUAAAUCAAAUCUCAUAAGCAUAAGUCAAUUGUGUGAUGACGGGUACUCUGUUACUUUUUCUGCAAAAGAAUGCACUGUGACUCUUGAUGAUGAUUCUUUCUUGAAAGGUGUUAGAUCACAAAACAAUUGUUACGUAGUUCCUAGUUCUUCAACUGAACAAUGUAACCUAGCGACAUUAGAGACUGAAACUUUAUGGCAUGAACGACUAGGUCACAUGAACUUUAAGGAACUAUCUAAGAUAACUAAGAAGGAGGUAGUUAGAGGUGUACCUAAGAUAGAAUUCAAAGAGAACAUUGUGUGUGGGGGUUGUCAAUUGGGAAAACAAAUUAGAUUCGCACAUAAGAAUUUGAACCACUUAGGGACAUCUAAACCAUUAGAGUUACUUCACAUGGACUUGAUGGGACCUUCUAGAAUUCAGAGUUUGGGUGGAAAACGAUAUAUCCUGCUUAUUGUUGAUGAUUUUACUCACUUUGUUUGGUGUGCUUUCUUGAAAAAAAAAGCUAAUACUUUUGAUUCUUUUUCUAAAAUCUAUCUUCGUCUUAUGACUGAAUGUAAUGAUAAAAUUGUACGCAUUCGAAGUGAUCAAGGGGGAGAAUUUAUAAAUUCAAAAUUUAUUGAUUUAUGUGUUUCAAAAGGUAUCAAACAUGAAUUCUCUACUCCUUAUACACUACAACAAAACGGAGUAGUUGAACGUAAAAAUCGGGUUGUUCAAGAGAUGGCACGUGUUAUGCUUCAUAGCAAGAAAGUUGCUCUACACUUCUGGGCUGAAGCAGUUAACACGGCCGUCUAUGUAAUUAACCGCAUCUAUUUACGCCUGGGUACUUUAAAUACUCCGUAUGAAUUGUGGAUUGGUAGAAAACCGAAUAUCAAAUACUUUUGUGUCUUCGGGAGUAAAUGUUUUAUCCUUCGGGAUCGUGAAAAUCUUGGAAAAUUUGACUCCCGGAGUAACGAAGGAAUCUUUCUUGGUUAUUCUACUACUAGUCGAGCGUAUCGGGCGUACAAUUUACGCACUAAGACGGUGACAGAAUCAAGUAACAUAAAAGUAGAUGAAGCUUCUUCUGUGAGUUCGUCUGUGCAUGAUUUUUCUAUUACUUUAAAUGAUGAUGAUAAUUCUCCAUUUAAUAUGCCUGUGAAUGAUGAGAUUUCUGCUCUUGAUAAAUCUACUGAAACUGUUGAAACUAGUGCAUCACAUGAUUUAUCUGAAACCCCUAGCACUUCUUCUGAACUUUCACCAGUGAAAGAUUACCCAUUGUCAAAUAUUAUUGGAGACCCUCUUACUGGUGUGAAAACUAGCAGACAACUUCAGUGUGAAUUUGCAUGUUAUGUUUCUUCAGUUGAACCAAAGAAUAUUGACGAAGCUCUUCUUGAUGAAUAUUGGAUUAAUGCUAUACAAGAAGAACUUGGUCAAUUCACGCGUAAUGAUGUCUAGGAAUUAGUGCCACGUCCUAAGCAACAACAUAUAAUUUGUACCAAAUGGAUUUUUAAAAAUAAGAAAAAUGAGGAUAGUACUAUCAUUCGAAACAAGGCUAGACUUGUUGCUCAGGGCUAUUCACAAGUUGAGGGAAUUGAUUUUGAUGAAACCUUCGCCCCGGUUGCUCGUCUUGAAUCAAUUCGUAUUUUGUUCGCAAUUGCCUGUCAUUUUCAAAUUACUCUUUUUCAAAUGGAUGUUAAAAGUGCAUUUUUAAACGGAUUUUUAAAAGAAGAAGUUUAUGUUGAACAACUAAAAGGUUUUAUAGACUCAAAAUUUUCGGAUCAUAUUUUUCGAUUGAAAAAGGCACUUUAUGGACUCAAACAUGCUCCGCGAGUAUGGUACGAACGUUUAAAAAAAUAGCUUUUAACAAAGGGCUACAGCCGAGGGGGAGCGGAUAGAACACUUUUUGUGAAACACACGAAAAAUGAUUUUAUUGUGUCACGCCCCGGGGUCCCUUUGUAGAUGAAAACACAGCGGAAAAUUUCUCUUUUUUUUGAAAAUCUGACCCCUAGGGUAUGCCAGAUCCGCCACAAAUAUAGGGAGUCCACUGUUCACACGGAUAGAGUCUCCCCUGUAUUUGCAUGGCGUCGCACAAGUACAAGACGUAUAUCCAGGAUUACAACCACCACAACUGAAUAUAACAUUCAUACAUUCAUACAAUCAUACACAAUUCACCACAGGUUCACAUACAGGAUUUAAAUAUAAAACCACGACUAUUAGUUAAAAUGUUUCCUACCCGAAAACUAGUUUUGAAAUGCUAAGUUACAAAAAUCUCGAGAAAACUCUUUUGAAAGUUAUUUCCCACAAGGGAACUCUUUCUUUUAAAACACGCUACCACGAUGGGUAGAAAAUCAUUUUCCAACCCUUUACAUGAAAACCACGAGUGUUUUAAUUAAUUUCACAAAACCAUGUGUAUACAUAUGUCGAAGUAAACAAAACCAACUGAACCAUAUGUCUAAGAGAUAUUGACAGAAGUAAAUAGGGUAGUAGCUAAACCAACAAAUCAGGUCGGAAGCUCUAUCAACCGCUACCAACGUAUCUCACGUCUCGUCCCAACACUCACCGCCUGCAAUACCUGAAAAAUGGUGGGGGGGGUGAGAACAUGUAAACAUGUCUCCCCUCCCAGUGGGUACCGUAAGCCGACGAAGGCGAGGAGUACUCACCGGAUCAGGAAGAGAUAAACAAGGUAAUGAUCAGAUAUACUGAAUACAGUAGCAAUAAACUGAAAGAAAGUAGAACUAUAACAGAAUAAACGGCUACCGCUACUGUAACUAGAACAGAAAGCAAACAUGGAUAUCCACUAUAGUAGCAAGACAACUGUAAAGCAAAAACUAUAAGUAUGCAUGCAACAACUGCAACUAUAGACAUAUGCGUCAACCGGACGUAUAGAUCAAAUAUACCCAAUCUGGAAUCUGCUACUCUGUUGGUCCGCACCGCAAACCUCAAGCCUGUGCCCACUGCCACUCUAACAUGCACAUAACCCCUCUAGGGCAUCACGGGUUGACACCUGCAACCACUUUUUCGAAAAAGAACACCCUCUUGCGGUGGAUUAGACCGCUGGUGUUCGUGAAAUGCGAACGAGUCUCAGGCAAUUAAUGCUGAUAUGCUCAAAGGCCAACCAUCGGCAACCAGCCAAUAAUCACUGCCCUCGGGGAGAACCGACCAAUAGGUCAUCAACUAUAAGGAAGCACAAGAACUGACCAUUUAUGUCAACUAGGAUGGAACAACUGAACAUACUCUCCAAAGUAUGCAAAUACUGCUCGAUGGGUCAACUAAAGUGUAAAUGCAAGAACCGACGAAUAGGUCACAAGAGUGUAUCAAUCUAAUCCAGAACUACCGUCAGCCACUAGCCGACAAUCCUACCCCUCAGGGUGCACCGACCUCAUAGGUCAUCAAACGACAAGAGUCACAAACUGACUGACUAGAUCACAUACAUGCCAAAGAACCAAUCGAAUGGGUUACAGAUACGAGAUACAAGAAUUGACCAACCAGGUCACCGAUACAAAAUACAACAACCGACCGAUCAGGUCACGAAACAGAUGCAAUGUACUGACCGACUAGAUCACAAUCUCACCAAUAGUUACGGAACCGUUCUACUAUAAAC